rnacentral:lncRNA from 1 species
AGUAAUGAUUACUCUAAACUCUACGCGAAGAGAUUAAAGUAAACUCAUAAACCAUAAGAACAAUAAAACAAGAACUUACUAGAAUUUAGAAGUCGAAAUACUAAAGAAUCCUAGGAGCAAGCUUCGGGUUAGGAGAACUUGAUCCCGCAGGUACAAGCUUGGAGUAGACACCGACAGGCCGGGCUUCCUCCAAUCAACACCUCCACUCUAUCUCUCUCAAUCUAGUAAAAACUAGAAGAUCUAUUUCUACCUUACAUUGGUUGCUAAGCCUAAAAAGAAAUAUUAAUUAGAGAAGAGGUUUUCCUUCGAGGGCACCCCUCAAUCUCUAUGAUAAUUUCUUUUUGUCUUCUCCAGGGGCCAGGGAGGCCUUGCUUAUAUAGUCCUCCGCUUCUAUGCGUUUUUGGGUCGAUAGGCGAGGUGGUACUAUGUUUUUCUUGAUCCAAUAGGUCGGUGGAAUAUGCCGAAUGAAGAGAGUCCCGAAAGCAAUCUAGCAGGGGGCGGGCGCCCAGGCUACCAGGGCGGGCGCCCUGGGCCUGGCCCAGUUUCACCUCCGCUUCGGUCUCGUGGCUUCUGGAGUCUUCAAGAUGAUGUAAAAUUACGCGGUGCGUUGAUAUCUCUAUGUAAUCCCGACAUGUGGGCCUUUCUUCCUUAUUUCCUGAUAUCCCCCUACAGAAACAGAUAAACAACAAAACUCGUGGAAUUCUGUCAGAUCAAACCCUAAUUCUAGGUGUUGGUUGCAUAUUGGUCCUUUCUCUUGUUUAUUUGAUAAUUAAAAUUGAUACUUAAGAACCAUCAACAAAUACCCCCAUACUUAGGCUUUUACUCGUCCUCGAGAAAAGGAUGGUUAAGAACAAUAUCUGGGGUAAAACAUUUUAAAGCAUUCUUUAUAUUUGCAGGGUGUUAAAAUCCACUGUGUACCAUAGUCAGGAAAGUUUAUGAUUAAGAGUAAAGAUUCUUUCUUCUCAAUCCUGUCACUUGGAGUUUUUGUAUAUUUUUGAAAGAAAGUUAGCAUACCUUUUGAUCCUCAUAGGUUCUCUCAGAUCACUCAUUAUCUUUUAUAUAUAUCUCACUGAGGUUGUUUUAAUUUGCAAAAAUUCUCAAGCAUACUUACUUAGCAUUUAUUGCCUGAUCAAAACGGGAUCCGAGGAGGGGAAUGUCAUACUCUUAGAUCAAAGACUUUGGAAAUUAAAAACUUUGUCAUCUCUUGCUGGCAUAUUGCUUAUUAGAGGGACCAUGGGCUAUCAUUUUUUUCUCUUUUUCUCUUUUUUUUAAGUGGAUACCGAGGUACCCCUAAUUCUACUGCCGGACACUUGUCUAUUUUUUUCUGCGAGGUUAUCGAGCACUUGCUCCUUUUUAUUUCCUCGAAAUAUCUCUAUUUUUUCACAGCCCAUGCCUCUAAUGCAAUAAUACUUCGGAAGAGUGAAUCUUACUGAAAUAAUGUCUUGAUCUUAGGAGCAUGAUAAAUCUCUCAACAAGGGUCUAACUCAUUUUGACCAAACUCAAUACAGAGCAGAUAGCUUUUUACAAUCAUAUUUAAUAUUUUUAGUUUUAUCAGGCAUAUAAAACACUGAGGAUGGUAGCUAGAAUUUUGAAUAUUUUGAAAUAAAUUCUCCAAGCAACAAUGAUAUCAAGAAUAAGAAACUCAUACUCUACAAUCACAUAUUCCAUAUUGACUUAAGUAACACAGGGUUUUAAAAUGAUUUUAUAAUAAUUGCAAAUUUUCAGGAAAUAUCAUAGAUUGAGAUUAAUCAUGAUUAGAAAUAUUUGAAUCUCUUUUUUUUUAUUUUAUCAUGUCGAAAACAAUAAUCUGCAUAAUCCAAAAUAUAUAUAUGUGUAAAGUAAAGUGUGCAGAGUGUGUACCUGAGUGGCGGGGUGGUGUAUUUGGCAUGUCAAGGGAUCUCCCCCAUACUUGUUUUCUGCUUUCUUACAAAAAUAAAGUAGAGACACACAAGACAUAAUAAUAAUAAUAAUAAUAAUAAUAAUAAUAAUAAUAAUAAUAAUAAUAAUAAUAAUAAUAAUAAUAAUAAUAAUAAUAAUAAUAAUAAUAAUAAUAAUAAUAAUAAUAAUAAUAAUAAUAAUAAUAAUAAUAAUAAUAAUAAUAAUAAUAAUAAUAAUAAUAAUAAUAAUAAUAAUAAUAAUCUUUAUUGAUCUUGAGGCAUUUAUUACAAAAGACUGAUACCAAACUGAUAAUAAUAGUAAACCUAAACCGAAUUUAAAGAUAACUAAGAUGCAUUGCCUCAAGGUCUAAUCUAGAUAACUUAACGGCGCUCUAAUUCCUUGAUCUUCUUGUUGGCACUGGCAAGAUCCUGCCUAAGGCCUAGUAUAAUGGUGUUGUGGUUAGAGAGCUGCCUAGUGAGGGAAUUAAUCGAGGACUGGAGAUCUAUGAUAACUCUAUCUAGCCUGCGAACUUCCUCAUCAAUAUCCAUUAUAGUCUUGCGACGCUUGGGAGGUGUCUCAAAAGCAUUGAGAGAGUGCUUCGGGGCUGCCUUUGGAGGGAUGAAACAGACUUUGGCAGCUCUAAUCCCUUCAAAGUAAGGCCUUUCCUCCUCUGUAGUGUAGCGAAUACUGCUGAUCUCGCCGCUUCGGUUGGUCUUGACUCCAACGACCCUCUCAUUGGGUCUAGGUGGAAGGAUCCUCGUGCCGAUUGGCACCUUGAUAGUGGUCUUCGUCUUGGAUGAUGAUCCUUUGAAGAGUAGGGGUUGUGGCGGUGCGGUGGGAACUGGUUGAGCAUGGUAAGAUUGGGCGGAGCUGCGUUGGCGUAAUGGCAUGGCUUCUAGCUGACGCUCUGUGUUGGCUGGGACGAGAGCACGGGCAUCGGGGUCUUCCACAGGCUCCAUGUUGAGGUUUAAGGGGACGACUUCCCAAUCAUCGUGGUACUUCUCGGCCAUUGGAGCAGCAAGGAACUAAUAAAAUUUUAAUUGAAGUAGAGCUAAUCAAGCUCUAAUUGAAGGAGAGAAAGCUUGGUGGCUUGGUGUUUGAAAACUGAGGUCAGGGGUCUGUUUAUAUAGGAGUCAAAAGGAUGCCUCUAUGGAUUGUUCGGCUUGCUCCCGUCGAUGUGCGUGCAAAACAUUCCAUCCGAGGGAUUAUUCGGAUCACCCUAAGUGCAUUUUCCAUAACAGAGAAAGUCGGGACCGAGGGGGAGCAGGGGCUGGGCGCCCGCCCACUUGACCUGGGCGCCUGCCCUCUCUCUGACCCCUCUGUGGGCCCACUUUUCCGAGCGCGUUUCUAGAUGCGAAAUUAUUUAGAAAAAUAUAUAUAUGACCCAAAACCAUCAGACCAAAAGUGUCGGGCUCUAAUUCUCCAUGGGAAGGUAAAAAUGGACUACGUCUAUUUCUUCAAAUUCAUCAUUGGGCUCUAAAAAUAAUUUAAGACGUUGACCAUUUACCUUGAAUAACGUACCUUCGCUAUUUUGAAGUGUGAUAGCUCCGUGGGAUGAUGAGUUGAUUACCUUGAAUGGCCCUUCCCAUUUGCUCCGGAGUUUUCCAUGCCCGAAAAGCUUUACCCUGGAAUUAAAAAGUAAUACCUUAUCUCUGGGUGUGAACUCCUUCUUCUUGAUUCUCUUGUCAUGCCACCUCUUGACUCUUUCUUUGUAGAUCUUUGAAUUGUGAUAUGCCUUCUCUCGCCAUUCUUCCAAUUCUGAUAGUUGCAUUCUUCUAUAAUCUCCAGCAACAUCUAGGUCCAUAUUCCAUCUCUUUAUGGCCCAGUGUGCUUUGAACUCUAGUUCAACAGGUAGAUGGCAAGUCUUCCCGUACACCAAUUGGUAUGGAGACAUUCCAAUUGGGGUCUUGUAUGCUGUCCGGUAUGCCCAGAGUGCAUCGGGUAACUUGUCUUUCCAUGCCGUUCCCAUUUCAUUUACUGUCUUCUGAAGAAUAUUCUUGAUUUGUUUGUUGGAAGUCUCUGCUUGGCCACUUGUCUGAGGAUGAUAGGGGGUAGCAACGUUGUGACGGAUUCCAUGUCUUGAUAGAUAUUGCUUGAAGCGUUUGUCGAUAAAGUGUGCUCCUCCAUCACUUAUCACUACUCUGGGGACUCCAAAUCUUGGAAAUAUAAUUUCUUCAAACAUCCUCUUUGAACUGACAUUGUCGGCAUGCUUGCAAGGUAAUGCUUCCACCCACUUGGAGACAUAGUCAACUGCCACCAAGAUGUACUCACACUUCUUUGAUGGAGGAAAUGGACCCAUGUAGUCUAUUCCCCAGACAUCAAAGAGCUCAAUCUGAAGGUUGUUGGUGAGUGGCAUUGCAUCCCUUGUAUUUAUGUUUCCGUGCCUUUGACAUGGCCCACAUCUUCUGAUAUAUUGCUUCGUGUCCUCAUACAUUGUAGGCCAAUAGAAUCCACACUGCCAGAUCUUUGAAUGUGUACGGAAUGCUCCAUAGUGACCUCCAUAUGGUGAUGAAUGACAUCUGUCGAUGAUCUUCCACCCUUCCUCAGUGGUCACACAUCUCCUGAGUAAGCCGUCAGAGCAUACUCGGAAGAGGUAUGGCUCAUCCCAUAUAUGUGAACGACUUUCCUGAAUAAGCUUCUUCUUGUUUGCUCCUAGAGGUACAUACCCUGAAACCAUAAAAUUAACAAUAUCUGCAUACCAGGGGUCAGACCUGUUAAUCCCGUAGAGCAUGUCGUCCCGGAGUGAAUCAUUGAUGGGGGUUUCCUGUGGACUCUUAAAAUACAUUCUAGACAAGUGAUCAGCAACAGAAUUUUCUACUCCUUUUUUAUCUUUUAUUUCUAAGUCAAAUUCUUGGAGUAAUAAAAUCCAUCUAAUCAGGCGAGGUUUAGCAUCUUUUUUAGUGAGCAAAUAUUUUAAUGCAGCAUGAUCAGUGUAAACAAUUAUUUUAGCUCCAACUAAAUAAGAUCUAAAUUUAUCAAUGGCAAAGACAACAGCCAGGAGCUCUUUUUCAGUGGUUGCAUAGUUAAGUUGAGCUCCUGUCAAAGUUUUACUAGCAUAAGCAAUUGCAUGAUGCUUCUUAUCUUUAGUUUGUCCCAAUACUGCCCCCACAGCAUAAUCACUAGCAUCACACAUAUGGUUGAAUGAUUGGUGCAGAGAUGAGUGCUUUCUUUAAUAAAUUGAAAGAUGUUAAACAUGCAUCAUCAAAUUCGAAAGGAGCAUCCUUGGCUAGCAAAAGAGUAAGUGGUCUAGCAAUGAAUGAAAAAUCUUUUAUGAAUCUACGAUAAAAACCAGCAUGGCCAAGAAAGCUUCGAAUUCCUUUUAUAUUCACAGGUGGAGGUAGUUGUUCAAUUACUUCAAUUUUAGCUUUGUCUACCUCAAUACCUCUUUCAGACACUAAGUGUCCCAGCACUAUUCCUUCCCCAACCAUAAAAUGACAUUUUUCCCAAUUAAGGAUUAAGUGCUUUUCUUCACAUCUUUGCAAAACCUUGUCUAAGUUUUCAAGACAACUAUCAAAAGUUUUUCCAUAAACAGAGAAAUCAUCCAUGAAAACUUCCAUAAUCUCUUCAAUCAUAUGAGAAAAUAUAGACAUCAUGCAUCUUUGAAAAUAAGCUGGUGCAUUACAUAACCCAAAAGACAUUCUACGGUAAGCAUAAGUUCCAUAUGGGCAUGUAAAAGUGGUUUUGCUUUGAUCGUCGGGAUGGAUCGGGAUUUGGUGAUAUCCUGAUUAUCCAUCUAAGAAACAGAAGAACGAAUGGUUUGCUAACCGCUCUAGCAUCUCAUCUAUAAAAGGUAAAGGAAAGAGGUCUUUUCUCGUGGCUUUGUUUAGUUUUCUAUAGUCUAUGCACAUCCGCCAUCCUGUGACGGUGCGUUGCGGAAUUAGCUCGUUCUUUUCAUUCAUAAUAAUUGUCAUGCCUCCCUUUUUGGGCACAACUUGCACUGGGCUCACCCACUCACUGUGCGGCACAGGAUAUAUAAUCCCUGCAUGCAGCAACUUUAUAACUUCAUUUUUAACUACCUCUCUCAUAGUGUUGUUAAGUCUACGUUGGGGUUCUCGAGAGGGUGUAACAGAAGGAUCUGUUGGAAUACGAUGGGUACAAAUCAUAGGACUGAUUCCUGUAAGAUCUUGAAGUGAGUAGCCGAAAACCGAGUGAUGUUUCUCAAGAAUGGUCAUUAAUCGCAGAGUUUGAUCCUGAGUGAGUUUAUCACUAAUGAUCACAGGGAACUCUGGAUUAUUUUUUAGGAAAGCAUAGGUAAGACCGGGUGGUAAAGUUUUAAGCUCUAUGGGAGGUCUAGGUGUUUCUGCAAACUCAUCUAAGGGUUCAAGCUCGGAAGGUUCAUCUUCUUCUUCUGUGAAGAAAGGAGUUUCGUCUUCUAAGUCUGGUUCAUCUAAAAGCUCUAGAGAUGCAGCCUUUACUUCCUCCAUAGGAUCAGGCAAAAGAUAUGACUCGGCCUUAUUGUUUAAGGAGUGUGAAAUUAUUAUUGGGAAUUUAAAGGUUUUUCCAAAAGAAAUGUGUAGCUUUCCAGUAUGACCUUCAUAAAGGAGUCUUCUAAAAGGUUGUCCUAUUAACAGGUCAAAGUCCCAUGUAUCAAAGAUAUAGAAGUUCAAAUGAACCAUGGAGCCUUCUACCGUAAGAGGUAGGACAUUAAUAAUUCCAAGACUGGGGACUAAUCGUCCCGAAGAUUCCUUUAUGACCUUUGUUGUGGGGGUUAAGAUAAGAUUUUUAAAUAGUUUAAGUGCAAAGGAUUCAGACAUAAUAUUGAUCCCCACAACAGGAUUAUAAAGAGCAAUAAAUCGAUCAGAAUUAUAAGCACAACGUAUAGUUAUAGAGGGUGUGUCCAAACGGAUCACAUCAGAGGAAAGCUCUGAUUCCUCCAACCAUUCACUACUAAUUACUGAGAUAAGCUCUCUCAAUUGAUAUUCACUUGGUAAAUAAAUGCUAAACUGGCCAUUUUGGGGUUUGUCAAUAGAAUGGUAGUUUGAAAUAUUUCCAAAAUCGACAAAAAGAUCGGAUUCUAUAUCCAGCAUGAAGUCCGGUAGUGGAAUUUCUUCCUCUUGUGGCUCAGAACUUGGGAUAGCUAAAGUAGAUGAAUAGUAUGGCAGAGUGUCUACUUCGGCUUCGUAGGUUUCAUCAUGAAGUGUAUUAUCCAUCUCAGCUUCUAGGAUUCUAUCUAGGAUCACUCUAGCUUCAUCAGCAGGGAUGCGAAAGAAAGAACCUCUAGACAUUGUGUGUAGCAUUUGUUUGUGAUUUUUCUGAAGACCUCGAAAAAAGUGAAAUAAAAGAACAGGGUCUUCAAGAUUAAGGUUUGGACCAGAUUCUAAAAGAUCAGAAAAACUUUUCCAGGAUUUUCCCAAAGUUUCAUUAUCUUUUUGUUUAAAAGAUAGGACUUCAAGUCUAAGGUCGGCUAUACGGUCAAGGGAAUAGAAAUCUAGACAAAAGUUGGCUCGUAAAACUCCCCAUUCACCUUGUUGUUGACUUACCUUCUGACUGUACCAUUGUCUAGCUUCUCCCCUUAAAGAAAAAGGAAAAAGCUUCCAACGUAAAGUCUUAUCAGAAAUGCCUUCAAUGCGAAGACAAUCACAUGUUUGCUCAAAAUCUCUAAUAUGAAGGUAAGGGUUUUCGUCUUCCUUUCCCGAAAAAGAUAGGUUUUGAAUCAUGGCAAUCAACCUAGAACUUAACUUAUACUGGGAUGUUUGGAUAGGCUGUGAUGAUUCCCAUGGUAAAAGGUCAGUUGCUAAAGGGAUUGCAGACUCAUGGAUCGAUUUAGAAUUUUGGUUUUCCAUAAGGUAAGAAUUAAAAAAAAUAAAUAAAGGAUAUAUAAGAAAAGAUAAAAGUAUAGAUACAAGCUAAUAGCAAGACACAGGUUAUCUCAGCAACCGUCUUUCUCCGCGGCAACGGCGCCAGAAAUGCUUGUUGAUAUUUGGGAACGCAAUAAGGAAUUGAUCCGCAAGCGCACGGAUAUCGGUGAACACUUCACCCGGGAGGUUAUCCAGAGUAUCGUAUUUAUUUUUUUACCACUAGGAGAAAGAGUGCAUCUGACUAACCAGUCUAUUACUACUAACCUUUAGGCACAAAGAAUGUCUUUCGAUGUGAGUGAUAAAUAGAGAAGACUGCAACCGUAGUCUCCUUCUAACCUUGGUAAGGAUGAUCUACUGUUCUAAUGGGGAGGCUAACGGAAUCUAGACAACACAAAGGAUGUUCGACCCGCACCUAUAAACCCUAUCCUUCCUGCUAACGAGAUGUGAUCUACAAAGGUAGCUCGGAAAUGUCACGUUCCUCACUACUACCACGGUCCAGCUAGUCAGGGAAUAUCUAUGAGUACCCCAGCCUAAACACCACGUUUACGCCAGUAAUGAUUACUCUAAACUCUACGCGAAGAGAUUAAAGUAAACUCAUAAACCAUAAGAACAAUAAAACAAGAACUAAUUAGAAUUUAGAAGUCGAAAUACUGAAGAAUCGUAGGAGCAAGCUUCGGGUUAGGAGAACUUGAUCCCGUAGGUACAAGCUUGGAGUAGACACCGACAGGCCGGGCUUCCUCCAAUCAACACCUCCACUCUAUCUCUCUCAAUCUAGUAAAAACUAGAAGAUCUAUUUCUACCUUACAUUGGUUGCUAAGCCUAAAAAGAAAUAUUAAUUAGAGAAGAGGUUUUCCUUCGAGGGCACCUCUCAAUCUCUAUGAUAAUUUCUUUUUGUCUUCUCUAGGGGCCAGGGAGGCCUUGGUUAUAUAGUCCUCCCCUUCUAUGCGUUUUUGGGUCGAUAGGCAAGGUGGUACUAUGUUUUUCUUGAUCCAAUAGGUCGGUGGAAUAUCCCGAACGAAGAGAGUCCCGAAAGCAAUCCAGCAGGGGGCGGGCGCCCAGGCUACCAGGGCGGGCGCCCUAGGCCUGGCCCAGUUUCGCCUCCGCUUCGGUCUCGUGGCUUCUGGAGUCUUCUAGAUGAUGUAAAAUUACGCGGUGCGUUGAUAUCUCUAUGUAAUCCCGACAUGUGGGCCUUUCUUCCUUAUUUCCUGAUAACCCCCUGCAGAAACAGAUAAACAACAAAACUCGUGGAAUUCUGUCAGAUCAAACCCUAAUUCUAGGUGUUGGUUGCAUAUUGGUCCUUUCUCUUGUUUAUUUGAUAAUUAAAAUUGAUACUUAAGAACCGUCAACAAGGAGCAGGUCCUCAUUGGGUUGAGGUGCUGUGAGAACAGGUGGUGAGGUGAGGAAAGUUUUGAGCUGGGUGAACGCAGCGUCAGCUUCCUCUGUCCAGGAGAAUUUUUCCGACGCCUUUAGGAGUUUGAAGAAGGGGAGGCCUUUUUCUCCCAGCCUAGAGAUAAAACGGCUGAGAGCAGCCAUACAAUCGGUGAGCUUUUGAAUGUCCUUGACGUUCUUGGGUGGUCGCAUGUCGAGCACUGCCUUUAUUUUUGAGGGAUUCGGUCGUAUGCCGUCGCGGCUGACGACGUUGCCGAGUAGUAGUCCAGAGGGGACCCCUAAGAUACACUUUUUGGGGUUAAGCUUCCACUUGUAUUUAUUUAGUGCCUUAAAGGUUCGAUCUAGGUUGUCGAUUAGAGUGCUCGCAUCCCUUGUUUGGACGACAAUAUCGUCUACGUAAGCCUCGACGAGGUCGUCACGAAUCUCAUCGUGGAGGCAUUGCUGAAUGGCCCGUUGAUAAGUAGCGCCAGCAUUUUUGAGUCCGAAGGACAUUGUCGUGUAGCAAUACGCACCGAAAGGGGUGAUAAAAGAUGUUUUGAUCUGGUCAUCUUCCUUUAGUGAGAUCUGGUGAUAACUAGAGUAACAAUCUAGAAAGGAGAGGAGUUUGCAUCCGGCCGUUGAGUCGACCACCUCGUCGAUGCGAGGGAGACCAAAAGGAUCUUUAGGACAGUGUUUAUUAAGAUCAGUGUAAUCAACGCACAUUCUCCAUUCAUUGUUCUUUUUUCUUACAAGAACCGGAUUGGCGAGCCAAUCAGAAUGAUACACUUCUUUAAUGAAUCCGGCUACUAGAAGCCGCGUUAUUUCUGUCCUAAUAGCCUCCUUUUUGUCAUGAGUGAACCGUCGUAGCUUCUGCUUGAUAGGUCUUGCGGUCUUCGAGACGUUUAAUGAGUGCUCGAUCAGGUUUCGUGGGACGCCGGGCAUGUCUGCUGGUUUCCAUGCGAAAACGCUUACGUUGUCCCUUAGAAACCUGACGAGCGCGUCUUCCUAUUUAGGGUCCAGAUUGGCCUUAAUGAGGGCCAUCUUCUCAGGGCUGCCGUCGACCAGCUGUACUUCCUUGUGCUCUUUGGACUUUGAAUUUUUCCUCGGAGUCUCCUGCUCGGGUAGUCGAAGCUGGUCGGGUGGAAACUACGUAGCUUGGGCUACGGUUUCUGCCAUGCGGAUCGAGAGGUCGAUUGCCUCAGUGACCUUGAAGCUUUCCUCCUCGUAGGUGUAUGCGGUGUAGACAUUGCCUCUGAUGGUUAGGACGCCCUUUUCUGUUGGCAUCUUGAGGACCAGGUAUGAGUAGUGCGGAACUGCCAUGAACUUUGUCAGCGAUGGUCGGCCCAGAAUUUCAUGGUAAGUGCCAUCAAAGUCGGCGACCACAAAGUUGACGAACUCUAUUCGAAAGUGGUUGGGAGUUUUGAACUAGACAGGCAGUGUUAUCUGUCCAAGGGGUACUGAACUUUGACCUGGUAGGACUCCCCAGAAUUGUGCAUCAUACGGUUUCAGUUGCGCCGGGGUUAUCUUGAGAGGAGGCAGGCUAUUGCGGAAAAGGAUGUUAAUGGAGCUGCCCCCGUCAACAAGCACACGCUCAAAUCUAACGCUGUUGAUGCAAGGAUCCAGGAUCAGAGGAAAACCUCCUGGCUCCAGGAUGGCGACCCAUUGGUCCUUCCUGUUGAAGGAGAUCUCCCUGUGCGACCAGGGAGGAAAUUUUGGGUCGGCGACCAGACCGUCUGCGCUGUCCACGUUGAGGCAAGCUCUCUUCAGGAGCUUUCUUUCUCGCUUGGAUUCGAUGGAAACUUUGCCUUCGAAGAUGGAGUGGACCACGUCGAUGGGACUGACGUACUGGUGUCGUGGGUCCCUAUCCUGGUCGUCGUCUUCGUGACCAUGUCUGUCCCGCUUCCCGUUUUUCAUGGCGGAAUCGUCUUGAGCAGCCCGCAGUGUGUAGAUGCUUUUUAGGACACGACAUUCUUCCAUCGUGUGAUUGGACUUGGGAUGGAGUUGGCACGGUCCUUUCAACGUCUUGUUGUAAUCUUCCUGGUAGUCUCGCCACCCAUUGGGGCGCUUGACUGUGUUCACCUCGUGGUCAUGGUCACGAGGGCGCUUGCCCCUGAAGUCAUCGCGGUUGUCACGCCGCCUGUCCCAACCUUCUCUAUGGUCACGGUUGUCAGUGCGACGAUGGUUCCUGUUGUUAAAACAUUCACGACUGUCGUCUCGUCGAGGAGGCUGGUCAGGGCCUCUCGCAUCCUCCCGCAUGAGCUUUUUUGCGUCGUCGGCGUCAGCAUAGUUUUUGGCCGUAGCCAGGAGCUCGGCCAUCGUGGUCGGCCUUUUGCAUAGUGCUUCGUGGAAGCAUAGCCCUUUGAUGAAAGCUGAUAUGGCCUCGUCGUGAGAAAUUUUUGGAAUUUUAAGACGCAUAUCGGAGAAUCAUCGGAUGUAAUCAUGCAGAGGCUCGUUUUUCCGGUCCCUUAUUCUCUCGAGGUCAUACUUGUUCCCAGGCUGCUCGCAGGUAGCGAUGAAAUUGUCGAUAAACGCCUCGCGCAGUUCUUCCCAAGAGUCGAAAGAGUCCUCGGGCAGGCCGAGGAGCCACUGAUGACCAGCCUGGUCGAGGACGACUGGGAAGUAAUUUGCCAUGACGUGCUCAUCUCCUGCUGCUGACCGAACAAGAAUCUCGUAGAGAGUGAUCCAGUUUUCUGGGUUUUCCUUGCCAUCAUAUUUUUUAAGCUUCUCAAGUUUAAAGUUGCGGGGCCAUACGACUUGGCAAAGGUGUGAAGAAAACUGCCUUAGGCCGGGAGGGCCGUGCACGGCAUCGUACUCAAUGUGCCGCAAGUUUUCGUGCACCGCUCUUUCCGUGGCGCGCCUGUUGAUGCGGUCCCGGGCGUCUUUGGGAGGGAUGUUGUAUCGUAGAUCCCUGUCCUGGUUUACUUCCUAACCACGCCCAUGCUUCUGCUUGCGAUAGCCGCCGGCGUCCCGACCACGGUUGUGGUGAAGUCCGGCUCUGAUGAGUCUGGUCAGAAGAGACCUCUGUGUAGCAGAUAGCUUGGACCCUUUUGAGUAAGGUCGCUGUCUGUCCCAUCACGACGAUCAGGUGUGCGCGUAUACUGGAUCAGACACCCUGGCACUCAAGAGUAUCAGGGAGUCGGUCCAGGUUUGCCAUAGCAAUGGCCACGUUAGCACUUGGCGUUUUGUAGACUUGCUGAUCUCUGACCAUGUCGAAAGCAUCACUGAGGUUAUGCGGCGCAAGUUGCCGUUCCUCGUCCGCGCACCGCCGAGCGCAGUCGGCGUUGCGCUGUUCGCGGAGCUGCUUCUGCUCGUCUGUUUCUCCGUCCACAAUUGGUUCAUCGUUGCUGACAUUGAAGAUAAGAUCUCCCCACCGAGGCGGAAAGACUGGGAAGCGAGAAAAACCCGGAGGAUACGGUGGUAAAUCCAGGUUAGAAUCUUCAUCCUCGGAGUUUAUAACCUCGGUAGGGACAGACCCUGUGCUGGAGUUUGUACUGAAAGCCUGAUCGUUCGGCAGUACUUGGAUUGAUACCAUGUUGACGUAAUGGUGAGCUGCUCGGCUGCUCUGUCUCGGCGACCAGCCUGCCCUGUUGAAAAGGGAUUGGAUGUGCCGUGAGUAGUGAUCGGCCGAGUUGUUUAGUUUGUAGGGAGAACUCUGGUCUGGAUCUGCCUUGAGCUCGACGGACCGCCCCAUGGGGGUGGACGUUAUUGUCAGAGACGUCCCCAGCUGUUCGUGUGUGACGACACGAGUUGGCCGGCAGGAGUCGAAAGAGUCUGUCGGCACGACUUGAUCAGAUUGGCGCGAGAUCCCAUCUUCUAGUCGGGAAGCUUCGAGGAGCCUGAGGUCGGCACGAUCAAGGGCUUGGAAAAGAUCCGAGUCGUCGACCUUCUUUCUUCUGUAACGAGGGAGCGGAGGUCGAGUGCUCGGGGUCGGCGUGAUCGGAAUCGACGCCGCUGCGUCCCAGAUCGGAUCUAGGUUUCUCCCGAAGUCGUGGUCGUGAGGCCGCCGCCAUGAGUCGUCCACGUGAUCUGGCCGACGGUGAACGUGAGGCCUUCAGGCACGGCCGUGGGAGCUGGAACGAUGACCAUCUUGUUCGUCAAAAGAGCUGUACGCACACCCCUACCUGGCGCGCCACUGUGGACGAAAGCUAGUUGGCAGUCUACCUUGGGGUAUACCCACGCUAGUAGUUUAUCGGUAGACGGUGUGCAAGCUACGAACUUGAUGGUGACGCAAGAUACGGACAAGCUUUUUAUCCAAGUUCGGCCGCCAUGUGGGCGUAAUACCUACGUCCUGCGUCUGGUUGUAUUGAUUUGAGUUGAGAUAAUAAUGUGUCCUAGGGGGGUCCCUUGCCUCUCCUUAUAUAGUCCAGAGGGCAGGGUUACAGAUCCGGACACUAAUCCUAGUUGGUUACAAUUGCCCUAGAUAGUAUGAUAUCAAUUCCUUAUUCUAACCGACUAGAAUCCGGCUUGAUCUCUACGUCUUGUUUCCUUGCGCGAAACUCCGAGCAGUUGGAUCAAGCCUCAGUCUGUCUUCGUGAUGGGCCAAGCCUCCUGGCCCAAGUCCAGCCGUAAGGGUAUAGGGGUUUAUAACCCCACAGAACCUCUCUCUCUGAAUCCUCUCUAGAAAAUAUGCUAAUGAAUAAUGAGGAUUGUCUCUCCAGGGGCUAGGGGGCCUGCUUAUAUAGUCCCCUCAAGUGAAUCUGGGCUGUCGGAUCAAACCGACCUUAAUCGCACGGUUUUCCUUGAUCUCUUAGGUCAGUGGAGCAUAAUCCGUGAGGUUGAACGUGAUUGGUUGAGACACCUGGGCGGGCGCCCAAGGGGGGAGGGCGGGCGCCCUUCCCCUAGGCCCGCUCGGCCUGCCGUUUGUUCCAGUGGCUUCUGGAGUCUUCUAGAUGAUAGAAAAUUGUGCGGCACGUUAAUAUCUCUAUGUAAACCCGACGUGUGGGCCUUUUCUUGAUAUUUCUUGAUAACCCCCUGCAGAAAUAGACAAACACCAAAACUUGUGGAAUUCUAUCACAUAACACCCUAAGUCUGGGUGUUGGUUGCAUUUGGAUCCUUUUCAUUAUUUAUUUGAUGAUUAAAUUUGGUACUUAAGUACCGUCAACAACUCCCCCAAGCUUACCUCUUGCUCGUCCCUGAGCAAGGAUGGACUCAAGAGUUUCUGCAGUGGUUUCAUGCCUUAAAAGUACACAUGCAUUCAAGCAAGAUCUCUUCUUUGAGUUAGAGUAAACUGUUAAGACUUAAAACUUACUCAUUUUUCCUUUCACCAUGGGGCUUGCAACCGUCACUUGUGUCUUUAGUAGUUAAAAGAUAGAACGGUCAAGUCAAGCGCCAUGUCUCUUAUUCUUUGAUUAACUAUAGCUUUGGAGUUUUUGUAUAUUUUCAAAUAAAACUCAGAGAUUCCUUGUAUGACUCUCUAAAAUCUCUCUUUUGUGGUAUUUCUGGAUCCUUUCCAAGGCAGUAAUGGUAUAUGCCUUCUCUCAAUUUAUGUGGUAUUUUUGGUAUGAGGCAUAGUGAUAUUGCCUUCUCUCUCACCCUACUCUAAUAAGGUUUUGAUAUCUGUAGCUCAUAGGUGGGAGAUAAAGCAUACAUACUUACAAGACAUUUAUUGCAUAGUCAAACCAUGGAUCCAGAGAAACAAGUCAAUAAGUCAAAUCAAGAUGUGCAUGUGUGGCGAAUGAAUGGUGUAUGGUGAUAACAAUGGUGAAAGUCUAAUUCUACUUUUGCUCUUUUAAGGGGAUACAUACCUUUCUUGCACUUUGAAGCUUUUUGAGGAGAAUGAGAUGCUCUAUAUUUUUCUUUUUCUUUUCUCUCAGGUGGGUAUCUUGUACCCCUAAUUCUACUAUCGGACACUUGUCCAUUUUUACCUCUCGUCUCACUUUUUCUUUUCUUCGAGGUUCCGGGCACUUGCCCCUUUUUAUUUCCUCGUAUUCACUUUUUUUUUCAGAGCACUCACCCUCCUAGAAUAAUGUAGCAAGUGGUAGUAACCAAAAUAUCUCGAGCAUUUAUUUCACGGGGAAUAGCAGGGAUAGGAUAAUGUUUUUGGCUAUUCUCUCCUGGAUAGGAGUAGAAUAAUUUUGGGUGAAUCUGGAGAUGGAAAUGAGUGGAUGUAUGUAGAUGCGUACUUCCGGAGUAGAAGCAGCAUGUAUGAGUGAACGUGCAAGUGAAUCUUGAUUUUAACCAUAUGACAAGCUCCUAAGGGUCUACACAGCUUGACCACACUCAAUGCUCAUAAGCAGUAAAAAAGUAAAUGUAUGGUUCAUAGUCUAAUAAGCAUGUAUAUAUGGUUGUCGUAGGAUUUUAAACUCUCAUCAUACAACAUUUUAAAGAUUUUCAAAGACAAAAUUCUCUAGAAUUCUAGUAUCUCUAGGAACAGAUAAACAACAGCUCAACCUUCCCAUAUCAUAUCUGUUAACGACUUAGACUUUUGAUCAGGUACUCUUCCCACAAGUUCAGGUUUAGGGCAAAUCUUAAUUCAUAACAGUCAUGCCUAAACUUGAGAGAGAUUUCAAUUUUGAGAACUAGUCAUGGCAGAGCAACUAUUCAUCAUUUCUAUGUGAGAGCUUAUCAUGAGAGUUCAUAGCAAACUUUAUUUAUUUAACAAACUAAGCAAAGAUAUAUAUAAACACAAAAUUUUUAUUUGGGUUUUCAUGUUUAUGCAUCUUUUUAUUAUUUGAGUAAAGUAUAAACGUGAGUUGAAACACUUAGCUAGAUAAAUGGGGGUGCUCUCCCCCAAGCUGGAUUUUGACGUAAUUUCUUCUGAUGUAGCUAGCAGGUGGCGGAGGUAUAUUUGAAUGUCGGUAGCACCCUGACAGCGAUUAGGAUGUCCUCCGUCUCCUAGUCUUCUUUGAUCCUUGAAUUCUGUGGAGCACAAAUAGACAACAAAGCUUUGUGGAACUGGUUAAGUGUUAGCAUAAAAUCUCUUAGCCUUUAUCAUAUUGAGAUUCCUCCUCAUAAAUUUUAUUUAUUAGCAAGAUCAUGCACUUAUUAUUUUUAUAUUUUUAUUGCAAGAUGAAAACAUAUUUAUUUUAUGCCACCACAGUCAAUAUACCUAUGGGUUUUAAACCACAAGUCUACUCACAUGGGGCUUUAGAUUUUAUGAUGUAGUGCAACGAACAAAUAUUUUUGUUUUCUUUUCUAAUGCUAAUGUGGAAAAAUAAAUAUGCUAAUGCAAGUGAUGGAAUAAAAAGGAAAAGGAAUGCAGAAAAGAUAAAUAUGGAUAAAUACCGAUUUUACCUUCCGGCAAGGAUCCAAUGUUUUAAGUCUUCUGGACAAGACUUCUCACCGUGUUCAUCCUUUAGGUGCGUCAUUUGAUUCAAGCGUGGACCUUGACAUCUGCACCUCUUGAUACGGUGUCACCCAAGUUCUCCGUUUGCCCAGCAGUUCGAAGUGGGGCGUUGGCAAUAUCCUGCUCAGUGUGUUUGUGCUCGUAGAUCUAGGUCCUUCACUUGGUGGAGUCUGGGAGUUGUAGAACUCCUUCAGGUUUUGCUCGAAGUGUACCUGCUCAUACAGACAAGGCAGAGAUCAAGUGCAUGGGCCCUAUUGGUGAAAAACACCAACAAAACCAAAAGUGUAUUUGUUCUUCUCUAACCUUAAACAUAGUGAGCAAGACAAAGUUGACGGAUAAUAAGAUCAUGAGUGUAGCAUUUAAAACAUUUGUCAGAUUAGAUCGCUCAACCUAAUUGAAAGAUAAUCUUUCUAUACUUAUGUUUAUAUAUAUAUAUAUAUAUAUCUUCCAAAGAUUGCGUGUGCAACAUUUUAGCUCAUAUGAUUGGAGUGUGGGAUCACAAAGGUGGAAGGACUAAACAUAUUGAAUCGAUUGGGUUGGUUAAUCUAGAGUUGUAAAUCAUACAUGUUUGUCUCUUUAUUUUAUGUGAACGCCAGAACUAAGGAGAAGCUUAUAAAAGCGAUAGUCAAGUACCUUAAGAUGUUACCUUACUUGAAGAGUGAUGGUACAGUAUCACCUUGUGGAAGCUUUCCUUUCUUAGCGGUUGUGCAUCGUGUUUGUGGCACCCUCCAUGGAUCAUCUCUUGUGAGCUAUGCCUUCCUUGUGUAAAUUGUUAACCUUUAUGUGUCUCUCUCUUUGUCUCCAAUGUGAGUUUAUCUCAGGACUUCCCAGGUCGAUAUUGAAAGUUUUCCUGCAGGGGUUAGACCAACAAAAUAUCCCAUAUCUACUAUAGCAUACUAUCGGCUCAAAAAUCAACCUAGACACCAUGUCUAAUUUGAUUUUAGGAGGGCAUUUUAACCUAAGCACCAUGCUUAAUUUAAAAUCCCUUGGAAGUAAGAUCAUCAUUCCUAAACUAAGCACCAUGCUUAAUUAAGAGAUAAAUGAAACUACUCCAAACCUAGACAUAUACUAAAGCAAAUAAAGGUAGCAUGAGAGCAUUUAUAGAGAUCUACUCAAGUGGAGAUGAAGUAGUGUGAUUAGUAUUUAACAAAUUAAGCAUGUCUCAAAGGUAGGGACAACCAACAUAGCAACAUGGCAAAGGAUGUUUUUAUGUAAAGUACUCCUCCAAGCUUGAAUUUUGAAAAAUUCAAGUUUGGAUGAAUUUAAUUCAAUGUUGUAUUAUGAUUGGUUGGACAUACCUUGUGCUUGUCAUUCAUCCGAUCUUCUUGCUCCAAUCCUGGAAAGGUUAGUGACAAGAAUACCUGAAGGAAUAUUUUUACAAUUAUCCUUAUAUGCUCACUACACAAGGUAAUGUUGCAAAUAAUUAAAAGCUCAUGUUAUGAUCUAAUCAGUGCUUAUUUUAGGAUACUAAGCUUGUCCUUGAGAAACCAUCAAUUUAUGUCGGCGAAGUGGUUUCUCCAACGCUGACCUAUAUCAAGAUCAACUCAACGAUAGCUGCAAUAUUUAUUAUAUACAUAUGCAUCAACAACCGCCCUUUUAAAGUUUUUAUAAAUAGAAAGGAAGAGGGGGUUGGAGAUCUCAAAUGUGUUGAUGUUGGAGAGACCAAUAGAUUGGGAAGAUGUUGCAUAUGAGCAUGGAGUAAACGAAGUGGCUAUGAAAUAAAUUCCAUGCUCAUUAAUGUUAUCUUCAUCCUGAAUGUUCGGAGUUUCUCCUAGAUUGGUUCGCCUAUGUCCUUUUCUGUAGUUGGAUGAAUCUCAUCUUCAAAGGGAGUUAAGAACUCACCAUUUGAAAUUGAGCCAAAGUCAGAAUCCAUUAAGGCUUCUUCCUUAUCCAUCCAUUCAAUGGUGAUAGCACAUGUAUUUUUAAUGCCCUCUAGCCAUUGAUGUUGCUCUUCUCGAUCCUCCUUAUGGUCUUGGUGACUCUUAUGCAUGGGAUGUCUAGAGAGAUUCAUAGGAUCAUCGGGAGGUUCAAGAGAAAGAACAUAGUAGAAAUUAUUAGGCUCAAGGAUGGGUUUAAAGAUAGUUUUGAACGAGUCAUCAAAAGUGGGCGUAGAAGGGGAGAAGAUGAGAUUGUCUUCUAAAUGGCUUCGCUCUCCUUCUAUUGUAUCACUUAAGAUGCCAUCUUUGAGUCUUUCUAGAUGUCCAUCAAAGGGAUUGGAUUUGAGAUGCUUUCUAAGAGAUCCCUUCUUAGGAAGGUUCAGACUAUAUGCACUCAAAGGUCUCUUAUGAAGCAGGAAGUUUAAGCUCAUCCUAAAAUGAAUUUCCAAAGGUAGAAUUUCUUCUUCCCUUAGAUGAUUUUGGAGCACUACUAGUUUGGGUUGGAUAGCCGAAUCAUGGGAUUGAAAUGUUUGGAAAUCGGCUAUUGAAACUUCCUUUCCUUGUCUGGGAGAUGAUUCCUUCACUAUCUCUAGGAUUUUUUUAUAAAGACUGUGCAAGAAGGAUGUCCAUGAAUGAAGACAUACCUUGCUUUACUAACAGAUAAAGAAAGAAAAACUCUACAAAAGGUUAUAUGAUUAAGACCAAUGUGAAAAUAUCGAGGAAAAACAUGGUCUUGUGGGGCUAGGUCUAAACCAGAAUUUAUAGAAAGAUUAAAAGAUUCUCUAGGUGUAGCUAAAAGUUCAUUAUCUUCUUGAUUAAAAGAUAGGACCUCGGCUAUAGAAAAGGGUUGGUUUUGACCUAUUGCAAUUAACUCCAGACACAGAUCAUAAUUAGGGGCAAAGAAAGGCUUGUUGACUCCCAUGGUCUAUGGCUGGUCUCCGAAGGUGCAAAAAAUUCAAUAAUAGGUGUGGAAUUUGAGUUAUCCAUAAAGAUGGAAAAAAUAAAAGAUAAAAGAAUAAAAGUAUAAAAGCAUAAUACAAGAUAAUAGCAAGACUUAAAUUUCUCUUAGCAAACCGUCUUUCUCCCGGCAACGGCGCCAGAAAUGCUUGUUGAUAUUGGUUAACGCCAUCAGGAAAUGAUCCGCAAGCGCAUGAAUAUCGGUGAGCACUUCACCCGGGAGGUUAUCUAGAGUAUCGUAUUUAUAUUUUUACCACUGGGAGAAAGUGUGCAUCUGACUAACCAAAUCUAUUGCUACUACCCUUUAGGCUACAAACAAUGUGAUUCGAUGUGAGCGAUGUAUAGAGAAGACUACAACUGUACCCUCGUUCUAACCAUGCUAAGGAUGAUCUACUGCUCUAUUGGGGAGGCUUACAGAAUCUAGACACCAUAAAGGAUGUUCGACCCGCACCUAUAAACCCUAUCGAUCCUGCUAACGAGAUUAUGGGGUACAAAGGUAACUCGGAAAUGUCACAUUCCUUGCUACUACCAUGGUCCGGCUAGACAGGGGAUAUCUAUGAGUAUCCUAGCACAAACACAACGUUUACGCUAGAGAUGAUUACUCUAAACUCUACACGAAGAGAUCAAAGUAAACUCAUAAACCAAAGAACAAAAAACAAAGAACUUACUAGAAUUUAGAAGUUGAAAUACUGAAGAAUCCUAGGAGCAAGCCUCGGGUUAGGAGACUUGAUCCCACCGGUACAACCUCGGAGUAGACACCGACAGGCCGGGCUUCCUCCGAUCUACACCUCCACUCUAUCUCUCUCAAUCUAGUAGAACUAGUUCUACUCUCACAUUGGAUGCUAAGCCCUAUGAGGUGGGAACCCUAAGGAACCUCUCUCUCUGAAUACUCUCUGGAAAAUAUGCUAAUGAAUAAUGAGGAUUACCUCCUCUAGGGGCCAAGGGGCCUACUUAUAUAGUCCCCUCAAGUGAAUCUGGGCCGUCGGAUCAAACCGACCUUAAUCGCAUGGUUUUCCUUGAUCCCUUAGGUCGGUGGAGCAUAAUCCGCGAGGUUGAACAUGAUUGGUUGAGACACCUGGGUGGGCAUCCAAGGGGGAAGGGCGGGCACCCCGGGCCCGCUCGGCCUCCCGUUCGUUCCCAUGGCUUCUGGAGUCUUCUAGAUGAUAGAAAAUUGCGCGGCACGUUAAUAUCUCUGUGUAAACCCGACGUGUGGGCCUUUUCUCCAUAUUUCCUGAUAACCCCCAGCAGAAAUAGACAAAGACCAAAACUUAUGGAAUUCUGUCAGAUAAAACCCUAAGUCUGGGUGUUGGUUGCAUUUGGAUCCUUUUGUUUAUUUAUUUGAUGAUUAAAUUUGGUACUUAAGGACCGUCAACAGUGGAGACUCUAGGGCUUGAUUAGAGGCUCUUCUCCUUGGAUGAAUGAAUGAAUUAGGGUUUGAGAGAGUUGCCCUCCUCUAGGGGCCAGGGGCCUUGCUUAUAUAGCCCUCCCAAAUGAACAUGGGCCGUCGGAUCAAACCAACCUUAAUCGCAUGGUUUUCCUUGAUCUCUUAGGUCGGUGGAGCAUAAUCCUCGAGGCGAAGCCUGAUUGGCUCUCCGGCCAGGGCGGGCGCCCUGCCCUCGGGCCCGCUCGGCCUCUCGCUCGUUCCCGUGGCUUCUAGAGUCUUCUAGAUGAUGGAAAUUUGCCGCACACGUUAAUAUCUCUAUGUAAACCUGACGUGUGGGCCUUUCCUCCAUAUUUCUUGAUAACCCCCUGCAGAAAUAGACAAACACCAAAACUCAUGGAAUUAUGUCAGAUAAAACUAUAUGUCUGGGUGUUGGUUGCAUUUAGAUCCUUUUCUUUAUUUAUUUGAUGAUUAAAUUUGAUACUUAAGGACCAUCAACAACUCCCCCAAGCUUACCUCUUGCUCGUCCCUGAGUAAGGAUAGGCUCAGUGAUGGAUCAAAAGUUGCUGCAAUGCCUUUGUAUGUUGAUGGUACACAUGCUUUCAAACAAGGUCUCAUCUCUGAGUUAGAGCAAAUUGUUAAGACUUAAAACUAACUCAUUUUACCUUCCACCAUGGGGCUUGCAACCGUCACUUUUGUCUUGAGCAGUUAAAAGAUAGAACGGUCAAGUCAAGCUCCAUGUCUCUUGUUCUUUGAUCAACUAUAGCUCUAGAGUUUUUUUGCAGAUUUUCAAAUAAAACUCAGAGAUUCCUUGUAUGACUCUCUCAAAUCUCUCUUUUGUGGUAUUUCUGGAUCCUUACAAAGGCAGUAAUGGUGUAUGCCUUCUCUCAAAGUAUAUGGUAUUUCUGGUAUGAGGCAUGGUGACAUUGUCUUACUCUCUCACCGUACUCUAAUAAGGCUUUAUAACUGGAGCUCAUAGGUGGGAGAUAAAUAAUACAAACUUACAAGACAUUUAUUGCAUAGUCAAACUAUGGAUCUAGAGAAACAAGUCAAUAAGUCAAAUGAAGAUGUGCAUGUGUGGAUGUUGGUGCAAAAGCUGAUCUACAAACACAAAGGGCUAAUACCCGAUUCAAACGUUAAGGCGUGCCAGCCGAUUUGACCUUACAAUCGACAAAGGUGGUAACUCGAACACUUUAGUCCCGACAACAGCGAUGCGCCCGGAUGUCACGGCCAAGAGGUGUUCAUGCGGAAUUCGAGAACACGCCGAGUUUGACUCGACGAAUUCCUAAGAACUCGUAGUAAAAGGAAAAUAUGACGAAGUUGUCAAAAAGUAGAUGCUGGAAUAUGAGUAAAAACUUGUGUUUGAUUGGUUGACAGAUGUCUCAUUACAUUGCCUUAGGGUCUAUAUUUAUACCUUGUCCAAAGAGCUACAACUAGACACGACUAGGACUCGAAUUCCAAAUUUAAACGGAACCCGUAUACAAAAUUAAUUCUAAUAACUAAGGAAAACGCUAAACUAUCCUCCAUGAUCAAUCGGCACCCCAUCCUGAGUCAAUCGGCAACCCCUGCGCUUUCUUCAGAGUCAUCGGCAAACUGCCCUUCACAGCGAUCGACAACCAUCAGCAUUGGCCAUCGGUAUGAACGCAUCACCACCCUUGGACUUAGUUGUAUUCGGCUGCUUUUUCAUCGGCAUCAACCCUCAUCGGCAACACUCCUGUAGACUAGUCACUACUCCUCCACCUACCGAUCUACACCUCAUUAACUCCAGACGCGUGCCCAAAGAUACGUGUCCAAAAAUGGUGUCAACACAUGCCCCCCCAAUUUCAGAGUAUAAAAUCAUUAAUGCUCUGAAAUUCUCCUCAGUAAUGAUACCUUUCCGCAAUUACUUCCCUUGAUUGAUAAUUAAUUACCAAAUCUGAAUAACGUCACCCUGAUUCUCCUGUAGAUUCCUCGAAUUCCUCAACUUUCCGAACCGAGUCUCCCCAAAAUGUGCUCAUCGGCAAUAUUACCGUUAGAGAAAACUGCCGAUGGACCGACCAGGUGAUCUUAUACAGUAAGAUACCUUCAAAAUCGUGACCGCUUGCUGUCAAAUCACCUUCGCAAUCCCUUGAUUAUCGUGUGAACAGUUACCAUAUCCACCUGAACACCCUCGGAUUUCACGGAUGCGGCAAAGAGAUACGUAAGAUUUGCCCCUGCCCGUUCUGUCCUAUAAAUACUUCCUUCCCAGGUACUCUUUCUCCAUCUUGUCAUUCUACAGCCCCAAAUCCACCCUCCUGGUGACGACACUGUUCGAGAACUUCAAGAACUCCGGCAAGGAUUUCUUCUAGCAAUCCUCAGAGUCUUCGAUCUCUUCCUUCUUCCGAUAAGAAAUGGCCAUCAACUUCGUUGUUCCUAAGGUCAACUCACCACUCCCUUCUUUUAUACUUUUGCUGCACUCUCGUUCAUCUGCAAAUUUAUUUACUGAAUAUCCCCUUUUUUCUUUUUUUUCUUUGUCUUUUUUUCUGUUCCUUCAUCCUCCAAACCCUUUAGGAGUUGGCCGAUAAGAUCGUGAUUCCUACCGAUCAACCUCACUUCCAGUGCCUCGGUCCAUUGGGAAACCCAGAUCCCACCAAUCUGAUAACCGCAGAGACAAAUAGGAUCAAUUUUAGAGCUGAAAACUUCUCCUUAGAUCUGUGGAAAGAUGCUUUCCGUUCCUGGCCUAGUCCUACCAAGGGAUGGAAAGACUGGUUCCUGAGAGUCAGCCAUUCAAAUGAAGUCCAAUGGGGUGAGCAGAAAUUAGACCAAUGCAUCAGAUUAUCUAUUGCCGAUAUGGAGAGAAAUGAGUCGCUGCUGAUAGCUGCCUCAUACUUUUGGUCAGACACACUCAACGCUUUUGUAUUCAGCCAUGGCCCUGCUUCACCUACUCUUGCCGAUGUAAUCAUGCUCACUGGCUUAGACAUAUCAACUGCCGAUAAUAGUCAUCUAUUUGAUACCAAGCCCAGUUCUAAGGUAGAGACUCACGCUAUCGGCGGUUGGUCUGGGUAUAUUCAGAAGUACUGAAAAACAGGACCUAUCGGGGGAACGAGACCAAGCCAUUUUCUUGACAUGUGGCUGGAUAAGUUUGUAUUCUAUGGCCGAUCGGCAGGAUCAACCUCUUUCUAUCUAUCGGCAGCAGAAAGACUAGCCAAUGGUGGCCGAUUUCCUCUUGGCCGAUACCUACUCGGCUCUGUUUAUCACCUCCUUCACCAGGUAGCUAAGAAACUCCUACUAGGCCAACCCAUCGGCAACUUAGGGGGACCCUGGUGGUUCAUCAACAUGUGGCUUAGUGUCCACAUGCAUAAGCGCCUUGAAUUCAACCUUUUUGCACAGCACUUCCCUAGAGAUAUAGCCGAAGAUCAUGAGCUAGACAAGGAAGAAUCGGCAACUCGCUACCCAUUGAACUAUGGUGAAGCUGCCAUAGUCCUGCCUGGUACCGGUGGUAAUGAAGAUCAGGUUAGCCGAUUCUUUCAGACUCUUUAUGAGGGUUGGACCAAAGAACAGCGGGCAUGGAUGCCUUAUGAGGAUCCAUGUUGACACUUGCUAACACCACUUGAAUACUAGGUUGUCAUCCCCAGCAUGGCACUAGAGUGUACUAUGGUAUUUAUACGCACACAGAUAAUCCGCAAGCGCACGGAUACCGUUGAAGCUUUUACCCGGUUAAAGGUUUUAUCGUAUCCACAGGGAAACGGGAGAACCAACUACGCUCUAACUUAACCAAGAUAGAUAGAUAGGUGUAAAUAGGAAAGAUGAUAGAAUCGAAUAAGAACAAUAUUAAAGGUAAGAUAACAGUGAGUGAUAAUAUGGGAAUAGAGAAUAGAGCAAUUCUAGUAUAUGGGCGAUGGUAGCAGAAUAGAGAGGAUAACUAUGGUUUCUCUACUUCAAAGGGGUAUGUCUAUGUCUGGGACGAACCACGUGAUAAGAGUACACCACAAAGGAUGCUUAUCCAUAGGCCGAUAAACCCUACCCGUCCUGCUAACGAGAGGUGGACUACAGGGGACCAACAUAACUGUCACCUACGCGGCCUACCACACGAUCCAGCUAGUCAGGGGAUAUCCACAAGUAAUCUAGGUCUAAGCACCACGCUUACACCUAUACUACAACUCUAACCUAUAGGGUCCUAUAGAUUAGAAGUACUCAAAAGAGUUGUGAACCAGAACAUACAUGAUUAGUAAUUGCAUAAUGAAUAAGAAGUAGAUUACCAGAGUCAUCCCAUGAGCAAGCUUGAUUAGUGCUUGAUCAUGGCGAACUACAACCGGAGGAAGAACCGACAGGCCGGCCUCUCCUCUAAUCCUCCUUCGCUCUCCAUCUCGCUACUAUCUAGAUCUACUCUAGUUUAGAGAAGAGAGGAGAGCUCUCAUCUCUAAACCCUAGCUUUUGCUCUGUCUAUGAAUAAUGAAUAAUGAUCAAGGGGGUGCCUCCUCCAGGGGCCAGGGGGUCUGGUUUUAUAGUCCCCUCAAGUGAACCUGGGCCGUCGGAUCAAACCGACAUUGAUUGAACGGUUAUUCUUGAUCCUUUAGGUCGGUGGAGCAUAAUCCGCGAGAUUGAGCGUGAUUGGCCGAAAAAGGUGGGCGGGCGCCCUAAGGACUUGGGCGGGCGCCCUGUCCCUGACUCCGUUCGGUCUCCGCUUCCUUCCCGUGGCUUCUGGAGUCUUCUAGAUGUAAGAUAAUUGCGCGGCACGUUGAUAUCUCUAUGUAAUCCCGACGUGUGGGCCUUUCUUCCGUAUUUCCUGAUAACCCCCUGCAGAAAUAGACAAACACCAAAACUCGUGGAAUUCUGUCACAUAAAACCCUAAGUCUAGAUGUUGAUUUCAUUUGGAUCCUUUUCUUUGUUUAUUUGAUAAUUAAAUUUGAUACUUAAGGACCGCAACAAACUCCCUCAAGCUUACCUCUUGCUCGUCCCUGAGCAAGGAUAGACUCAGCAAUGGAUCAGAAGUUGUUGCAAUAUCUUAAAAAUUUGACGGUACACAUGCUUUUUAAAUAAGUUCUCAUCUCUGAGUUAGAGUAAACUGUCAAGAACUAAAACUUACUUACUUUACCUUUCACCAUGGGACUUGUAACCGUCACUUCUGUCUUGAGUAGUUAAAAGAUAGAACAAUCUAGCCAAGUGCCAUGCCUCUUAUUCUUGAUCAGCUAUCGCUCUGGAGUUUUUGCAGAUUUUCAAAUAAAACUCAGAGAUUCCUUUGUAUGACUCUCUCAUAUCUCUCUUUUGUGGUAUUUCUGGAUCCUUACCAAGGCAGUGAUGGUAUAUGCCUUCUCUCAAAAUAUGUGGUAUUUGUGGUAUAAGGCAUAGUGACAUUGCCUUCUCUCUCACCCUACUCUAAUAAGGCUUUAAUAUCUGGAGCUCAUAGGUGAGAUAAAGUAUACAUACUUACAAGACAUUUAUUGUAUAGUCAAACCAUGGAUCCAAAGAAAAAAAUCAAUAAGCCAAAUCAAGAUGUGCAUGUGUGGCGAAUGAAUGGUGUAUAGUGAUGAUGGUGAUAACAAUGGUGAAAGUCUAAUUCUACUUUUGCUCUUAUGAGGGGAUACAUACCUUCCUUGCUUUUUGAAACUUUAUGAGGAGAAUGAGAUGCUCUUCUUUUUCUUUCCUCUCAGGUGGGUAUCUUGUACCCCUAAUUCUACUGUCGGACACUUGUCCAUUUUUACCUCUCGUCUCACUUUUUCUUUCUUUCGAGGUUCCGGGCACUUGCCCCUUUUUAUUUUCUCGUUUAUUAUUAUUUUUUUUCUUUUCUUCUCUUUUCUCUUUUUUUUCAGAGCACUCAUCUCCUGAAAUAAUGUAGCAAGUGGUAGUAACCAAAAUAACUGGAGCAUUUAUUUCACAGGGAAUAACAGGGAUAGAAAAAUAUUUUUGGCUAUUCUCUCCCGGAUUAGGAGUAGAAUGAUUUUGGGUGAAACUGGAGAUGGAAAUGGAUGGAUAUAUGUGGAUGGUACUUCCGGAGUAGAAGUAGCAUCUAUGAGUGAACGUGCAAGUGAAUCUUAAUUUAACCACAUGACAAGCUCCUAAGGGUCUACACAGCUUGACCACACUCAAUGCUCAUAAGCAGUAAAUAAAUGUGUGGCUCAAAGUCUAGCAAGCAUGUAUAUAUGGCUGUGAUAGGAAUUUAAACUUUCAUCAUACAGGAACUCAUCAUGCAAUAUUUUAAAGAUUUUUCAAAGAUAAAAUUCUCCAGAAUUCUAGCAUCUCUAGGAAUAGAUAAACAGCAGCUCAACCUUCCCAUAUCAUAUCCGUUAACAACUUAGAUUUCAGAUCAAGUUUUCAUCCCACAAGUUUAGAUCUAGAGCAAGCUUUAUAUUAUAACAGUUAUGUCUAAACUUGAGAGAGAACUUCAAAUUAGGCAGAGCAACUAUUCAUCAUAUCCAUGCUAGAGUUUUAUUAUUAAGAAUCAUAGCAAACUUUAUUUAUUUAUUUAUUUAGCAAACUAAGAAAAGAUAUAUAUAUAUAUAUAAGCAUAAAAUCUUUAUUUGGUUUUUCAUAGUUUAUGUAUUUUAAUAUUCUAAUAUAAUAUAAGUAUACAGAUAGGUAGAAAUACUUAGCGAGAUAAAUAGGGGUGCUCUCUCCCAAGCUGAAUUUUGACGUAAUUUCUCUUGAUGUAGCUAGCAGGUGGCAGAGGUGUAUUUGAAAGUCAGCAGCAUUCUGACAGCGAUUAGAAUGUCCUCCAUCUGCUAGUCUUCUUGAUUCUUAAAUUCUGUGGAGCUCAAAUAGACAACAAAGCUUGUGGAACUAAUUAAGUGUUAGCAUAAAUAUCUAGCCUUCAUCACGUUGAGCUUCCUCAAUAAAUAUUACUCCCUAUUUUUAUAUUUUUAUUUUAUAAAGUAAAAAAGAAAUAUUUAUUUUAUUUUUAUGCCACCACAGUGAAGGUACUUAUGGGUUUUAUGCCACUCGUAUACUCACAUGGGGCUUAGUAUUUUUUUUAACAUUUUUAUUUUCUUUUCAAAAUAGCAUGAUUAACUAAUAAUCUAUUUAUGGCAAGUAAAUAAUUAAAGGGAAAAGAGAAUGCAGAAAGGAUAAAUAUGGAUAACUACCAAUCUUACCUUUCGGCGAGGGUUCAAUGUUUUAAGUCUUCUUGACAAGACUUCUCACCGUGUUCAUUCUUCAGGUGCGUCAUUUGAUUCAGGUGCGGACCUUGACGUCUGCACCUUUUAAUACGGUGUCACCCAUGUUCUUCGUUUGCCCAGCAGUUCGAAGUGCGGUGUUAGCAGUAUCUUGCUCAGUGUGUUUGUGCUCGUAGUGUACCUGCUCAUAGAGACAAGGCAGAGAUCAAGUGCAUGGGCCCUGUUGGUGGAAAACACCAACAGAACCAAAAGUGUAUUUGUUCUUCUCUAACCUUAAGCAUAGUGAGCAAGACAAAGUGGAUGGAUGAUAAGUUCAUGAGUGUAGCACUUAUAACAUUUGUCAGAUCAGAUCGCUCAACCUUAUGGAAAGAUAAUCUAUUUAUGUAUAUGUCUUUUUCUUUAUAUCUCUCAAUGAUUGAAUGUGUAACAUUUUAGCUCAUAUGAUUAGGAGUGGUGGGAUCAUGGAGGUAGUACUAAGAACAAGGAUUAAAGGACUAAAUAUGUUGAAUCAGUUGGGUUGGUUAAUCUAGAGUUGUAAAUUAUACACGUUUGUCUCUUUUAUUUAUAUGAACGCCAGAACCAAGGAGAAGCUUAUAAAAGUGAUAGUCAAGUAUCUUAAGAUGUUACCUUGCUUGAAGAGUGAUGGUACAGUAUCAUCUUGUGGAAGAUUUCCUUUCUUAGCGGUUGUGCAUCGUGUUUGUGGCACCCUCCAUGGAUCAUCUCUCUAUGAUGAAUGAGCUAUGUCCUUCUUGUGCAAAUUGUUAAACUUCAUGUGUCACUCUCUUCGUCUCUGAUGUGAGUUUAUCUCAGGACUUCCCAAAUCGAUAUUGAAAGUUUUUUUCUGCAGGGGUUAGUUCCACAAAAUAUACCAUUAUCUACUCAAGCAGUUUUUUUUAGUUCAAUCACCAAACUAGACUCCAUGUCUAAUCAGAUUAAGGAAGGCUAUUUAACCUAAGCACCAUGCUUAAUUUAAAUGCCAAUGGAAGUAUGGCGAGUACUUCCAAACCAACACUUGCUAGUAAAUAGACAAAGGUAGCAUGACAGCAUUUAUAGAGAUCUACUCAAGUGGAGAUGAAGUAGUGUGAUUAGUAUUUAACAAAUUGAGCAUGUCUCAAAGGUAGGGACAACCAGCAUAGCAACAUGGUAAAGGAUGUUUUUAUGUAAAGUACUCCCCAAAGCUUGAAUUUUGCAAAAUUCAAGUUUGGAUGAAUUUAAUUCAAUGUUGUAUGAUGAUUGGUUGGACAUACCUUGUGCUUGUCAUUCAUCCGAUCUUCUUGCUCCAAUCCUAGAAAGGUUAGUGACAAGAAUACCCGAAGGAAUAUUUUUUUACAAUUAUCCUUAUAUGCUCAAUACACAAGGUAAUGUUGCAAAUAAUUAAAAGCUCAUGUUACGAUAUGAUCAAUGCUUAUUUUAAGACACUAAGCUUGUCCUUGGGAAACCAUUAGUUUAUGUUGGCGAAGUGGUUUCCCCUCCGAUGCCAACCUAUAUCUAGAUCAAUUCAACGAGAUCUGCAAUAUUUAUUAUAGACAUAUGCAUCGACAACCGCCCUUUUAAAGUUUUUAUAAAUAGAAAGGAAGAGGGGGUUGGAGAUCUCAAGUGUGGUGAUGUCGGAGAGACAAAUAGAUUGGGAAGAUGUUGCAUAUGAGCAUGGAGUAAACAAAGUGGCUAUGAAAUAAAUUCCAUGCUCAUUAAUGUUAUCUUCGUCUCCAAUCUGAAUGUUCAGAGUUUCUCUUGGAUUGGUCUCACUUAUGUCCUCUUCUAUAGUUGGAUGAAUCUCAUCUUCAAAGGGAGUCAAGAACACACCAUUUGAAAUUGAGCCAUAGUCAGAAUCCAUUAAGGCUUCUUCCUUAUCCAUCCAUUCUACACAUUCUAGCCAUUUAGAACUUGUGAUCAGGAAAGGGGAGGUGUUAGAAUUUUCAAUAUGGCUUAGCUCUCCUUCACUUGAUAUGUCAUCCUCGACUUCUUCAUAACAGGAAUGAGGACAUUCUCUAAGAGAAACAUUAUUGCAAUGAUUUGAAUUAUCCCUGCUUGAAGGUCUCUUAUAGAACCAGAAGUCUAAACCAUCAGCAUCUAAAAGAUUUAAGGUCGGAAUUCCUUCCUCCCUUGGAGAAUUUUGGGGUAUUGAUGGUUUAGGAUCGAUAGCUAAAGUUUGGGAUUGAAGUGGUUGUAAUCUGGCUAUCGAAACUUCUUCUUCUUGUCUAGGAACUGGUUCUUUCUGUUUCUCAGGGAUAUAAAAGCUAGGAGACUUUCCGCUCAUUAAAUCAAUCAAAUUCCAAGCUUCACUAGCGGAUAGGUGGUGGAAAUAUCCUCCAGAGGCCGCAUGAAGGGUUUGCCUAUUUUUCCAACUAAGGCCCUCAAAAAAGUGAAUUAGAAGAACUUCUUCUGAAAUAGAAAGUUUUGGGCCAGUGAGAGUAAGGUUAAUAAGCGGUCCCAUGAUUUGCCAAGAGAUUCUUCUUCCAGUUGUCUAAAAGAAAGAAUCUCACGCCGAAGUUCCACCACUUUGGAGAUUGGAAAAUAUUUAGAAAGAAAACUACUAUAUAACUCCUUCCAAUCUCCAUGAACACUCCCUACUUUGAGUUUAUACCAAUGUCUAGCUUUUCCCGUUAAAGAGAACGGAAAGAGCUUCCAUUUAAGGGUCUCAUCGGACAUGCCUUCUAUGCGAAGGAGGUCACAGAUUCGAUAAAACUCUCUUAGGUGUGUGUAUGGGUUUUCCACACCUUCUCCUGAGAAAGGUUGUUUUUGAAUAAAUUCUAUGUAUUCGGGGUCUAUCUCAAAACUAGAUGCUAUGAUAGGCUUUGAAGAUUUUGGUGGUUCGAGAUGUGUGCCCAUAGGUCUAUAAAAUUCAUAGAUAGACAUGUUUGAAUUCAUAAUAGACCAGAGAUCAAGGAUUAAAUAAGAAGAAAGAAUAGCAGAGAUGAGGCAAAGGAUAAAAGGAAAAUAUUUUUUUUGUUAUAUUUUUUUUAUAAAAUGAUUAAACUAGUUCGUAGUCAACUCAGCAACCGUUUCCUCGGCAACGGCGCCAAAAAUGCUUGUUGACACUUGCUAACACCACUUGAAUACUAGGUUGUCAUCCCCAGCAUGGCACUAGAGUGUACUAUGGUAUUUAUACGCACACAGAUAAUCCGCAAGCGCACGGAUACCGUUGAAGCUUUUACCCGGUUAAAGGUUUUAUCUUAUCCACAAGGAAACGGGAGAACCAACUACGCUCUAACUUAACCAAGAUAGAUAGAUAGGUGUAAAUAGCAAAGAUGAUAGAAUCGAAUAAGAACAAUAUUAAAGGUUAGAUAACAGUGAGUGAUAAUAUGGGAAUAGAGAAUAGAGCAAUUCUAGUAUAUGGGCGAUGGUAGCAGAAUAGAGAGGAUAACUAUGGUUUCUCUACUUCAAAGGGGUAUGUCUAUGUCUGGGACGAACCACGUGAUAAGAGUACACCACAAAGGAUGCUUAUCCAUAGGCCGAUAAACCCUACCCGUCCUGCUAACGAGAGGUGGACUACAGGGGACCAACGUAACUGUCACCUACGCGGCCUACCACACGAUCCAGCUAGUCAGGGGAUAUCCACAAGUAAUCUAGGUCUAAGCACCACGCUUACACCUAUACUACAACUCUAACCUAUAGGGUCCUAUAGAUUAGAAGUACUCAAAAGAGUUGUGAACCAGAACAUACAUGAUUAGUAAUUGCAUAAUGAAUUAGAAGUAGAUUACCAGAGUCAUCCCAUGAGCAAGCUUGAUUAGAGCUUGAUCAUGGCGAACUACAACCGGAGGAAGAACCGACAGGCCGGCCUCUCCUCUAAUCCUCCUUCGCUCUCCAUCUCGCUACUAUCUAGAUCUACUCUAGUUUAGAGAAGAGAGGAGAGCUCUCAUCUCUAAACCCUAGCUUUUGCUCUAUCUAUGAAUAAUGAAUAAUAAUCAAGGGGGUGCCUCCUCCAGGGGCUAGGGGUUCUGGUUUUAUAGUUCCCUCAAGUGAACCUAGGCCGUCGGAUCAAACCGACAUUGAUUGAACGGUUAUUCUUGAUCCUUUAGGUCGGUGGAGCAUAAUCCGCGAGAUUGAGCGUGAUUGGCCGAAAAAGGUGGGCGGGCGCCCUAAGGACUUGGGCGGGCGCCCUGUCCCUGACUCCGUUCGGUCUCUGCUUCCUUCCCGUGGCUUCUGGAGUCUUCUAGAUGUAAGAUAAUUGCGGCACGUUGAUAUCUCUAUGUAAUCCCGACGUGUGGGCCUUUCUUCCGUAUUUCCUGAUAACCCCCUGCAGAAAUAGACAAACACCAAAACUCGUGGAAUUCUGUCAGAUAAAACCCUAAGUCUAGAUGUUGAUUUCAUUUGGAUCCUUUUCUUUGUUUAUUUGAUAAUUAAAUUUGAUACUUAAGGACCGUCAACAAUCCAGACACUAGAUUUCCCCUGACUUUUCAUCCCUUUGAUAAUGCUCUCAGUAAGGACUAUGAUCUGAUGAUGGCAAUUAUCACUUCGAGAGCUAUACUAGUGAACUUCUUUGGUAGUGGGAAAACCUCCAAUCUCACCUAGGAGUUCAAUAAUCCAUCAGCAUUGGCUCGUCAACUGGCCUUCGGACAGCUGCCGAUUGCGCUCUCCUAUGCCGAUGUGGUGAAACCAAGGGAGAUCAUCACCAUUGGUCUUGAGUGGAUCAGAAUAGCUCAACUCCCACCAAAUGCCGAUACAUCAGACAUCGACUUAUCGGCUUGGAUCCCAGCUCUCUUCAUCACGUAGGCGUACAAACAAUGGUGGGCAGAGUGGAAAGAGCAUUUGUUCUACAGAUCGGCUCUUACAUACCGCGGUAUGAUCGACUCCACAUACCAGGUCCCUUAGAACCCUGUAAGUCUUCAACCGAUGCCUCAAUACUAUUACUUUCGUUCUUACCAGCAACUUACUUCCUCUGUUUUACACAGGUCGAUGAUACACCACUGUCAGUCAGCAGAAGUGGCAAGCCAACCGAACUCCUCCCAUUGGGCCGAUCUCUUUGAUCGGCAAUAAUGCACCAAGCUUGGCGGCUUUAAUGCACCGGGACGUGCGUUUCAAGAAAAUUACCACUAAGCGGGCCAAGACAUCUCCAUCGGUCGCUGGUGCUGCUUUGGCGCAAGCUUUCAAGGUAGAAAAAUUUUUAUGUCUUUAAUUUAUACCGAUUCCAUUCUAUACUCACACAGCCUUUUCAGGAUACAUCGGCUGCCAUGGGAACUUAAUCGGUAACUUUCACUGUUUCAACCAAAAUUCCAUCAAUACUCUGUUAUACUUGUACUUAUGAAACUUUUAUUGUUGUAUCAGCAAUCUGGCAAAUCGGCAAAGACUAGAAGUACCAAGACAACUGCCGAUGCCCCCCAGUCCAGCCAAGUCAAGAGAAAGGGUCCCAACAGUACUAAGUCACAAGCAAAACGUCAGAAGACAGCAGUGCCUCCUCCUCCUCAUCCAGGGUCACCGAUUCACGUGGAAUCGUCCCCUUCUUCACCAGAAGCUCAGACACAACAAGCACUGUCUCCACCUCAGCCACAAGAAGAACCUCAGCCAGAAGAGACAUCAGCCGAUGUACAUGAGGAGGUCGCCGAUCCAGUGGGUUCAAUCAUAGCAUCGGUAGUUUCCUCAAUUCACACAAGCACUGCACCCCCUCAAGGUAAAGCAUUGUCUAUGAAAUCAUUGCCAAUGGAUUUAUCUUUCCAACUUAUAAUUAUUUUUAUUCAUUUUCAGCUAACAUUGUCUCAUCGGCAACUCCGGCUAAUCAACAUGUGAUACCAUCGGCCUCAACUAGCCAGAUGCGAGAGAUAGCUUUGAAACAAGUAAGCUAUUUGAUUCUCAUCCUUUAUUUCACUAACAUUUCAUCAUCAAAUAACUUAUCUCCUUUUCCUUUUCAGGAACAAGACUCUCCCGACAGCCUGUUCUCCUUCGCCAUUGAAAUUUCUGAUGAUGAAGGCGAGGAAGCAAGCUCUUCUCAAGCAGUAGGAAUUUCAUCGACAGAAAUCAGAGCUAAACUGGAGGACCUGCUAGCCCUGCUUCAUCAGGAUCAACCCAAUUAGUCGAUGACUCUGAUCCAGCGAAAGCUCUAUUCAAAGCUCUCAGAGGUCAGAUCCCUGCCGAUGCCGAAGAGACUCUUUUUCAGGCUGCACACUUAGAGAGCUACCAGCUUCAGUAUCAAAAUGCUGCCCAACGCCUUGCCGAUAGAGCCACUCAUGCCCAGCUCUUAGAGGAGGUAAUGAAAGUGAAGCACCUUGCUGAUGAGAAACACAAGAGCAUCGGUAUUCUAAAAUCCUCAGGAGAUACGCUGAAACAAAAGAUCUCUGACCUAUCGGCAAAAAGGGAAGCCCUGUUGGCAGAGCUUAAGCAAGUAGAAGAGGCUCUGUCCCAAGCUCAACAAGAAGAAAGUCAGCUGCCUGAAAUGAUCAAGACCCUCGAACAAGAGCGAAACAUUCAAGCCCGCAAGGCAUUGUAGAUGAAGAAGAAGCUGAAGCUAGUGGAGGGUUCUGCCGAUAAAGACAUCAAGGAGAUAGAAGAAGCCGAUCAAAUUCGUCUGCGUGCUAUAUCGGUGAUCCAAGCUCUGCUGAAUGUAUAAGCUUUUCAUUGGUGGCGUGUUUUGCUCUUUCUUCAAAAACUGCUGAUUAUUUUGGUCUAGCCGAUAGGACUGUUAUCGGCAUCUUUUGAAACAUCGUAUUCAGUCCGAGAUACACUUUAAUCCAGCCGAUAGGAAUGUUAUCGGCACUUUAAGCUUUCACGCAUUGACCCAUAUGCUCGGGUAAUAUUUCUUUAAGUACUUUCCAUUCAAUGCUCUGGGAAAUUCAACUCCUUCGAGAGUUUCCAAAAUAUAAGCAUUACCAGGAGCAGACCGAUUUAUCCGAUAAGGACCUUCCCAAUUAGUAGACCAUUUACCGAAUUUUGAACUUUUAGUCCCAAUCGGUAAUACUAGUUUCCAUACCAAAUCUCCAUCGGUAAACUCCUUAGCCUUUACUUUUUUAUCAUACCACAUGGCAACUCUCUUUUUAUUUUCUUCUAUACUUAUCAAAGCUUUAAGUCGAUGCCCUGCUAAAUCAUCUUCAUCAAAGUAGCAUAGUCAUCGACAGUCAACUUAUCCUGGAAAGAUAGUCGCCUAGACCCAGUCUUAAUUUCCCAUGGUAGUACUGCAUCGUGCCCAUACACCAACUCAUAAGGUGAAACUUCCGACCCAUGACAAGCCAUCCGAUAUGACCAUAAAGCUUCAUUCAAGAGUGUAUGCCACCUUCUAGGAUUUUCUUCAAUCUUUCGUUUGAUGAGUUUAAUAAUUCCUUUGUUAGAUGCCUCAGCCUGCCCGUUGGCUUGAGCAGAAUAAGGGAAAGAGUUCAACACCUUAAUCCCCAUACCGAUUGCAAAUUCAUCAAACUCUCCUGAUGUAAACAUAGUACCCUGAUCGGUAGUAAUUGUUUGAGGAAUACCAAAUUGGUAAAUAAUAUGCUCUUUCACAAAAUCAAUCAUAUUAGCCGAUGUAACUUUCUUCAAAGGAAUAGCUUCAACCCAAUUAGUGAAAUAAUCAGUGGCAACUAAGAUGGUGGGUAAAUCUGGCCGAUCAAAUCAAUAGCCCAUCCCCGGAACGGCCAAGGUUUAAUAAUAGGAUUCAUAGCCGAUGCGGGUGCCCUUUGAAUAUUGCCAAACUUUUGACAUCCUUGGCAUCCUUUGAAAUAUUUAAAGCAAUCUUCGAGUAUAGUCGGCCAAUAAUACCCAUUUCUCCUGAUCAUUCAUUUCAUCUUAAAAGCCGACUGAUGUGCUCCACACACUCCUUCAUGGAUUUCACCCACCAAACUUUUAGCUUCAUCAUUACCUAAGCAUUUGAGAAGAACUCCAUCUAUAGUUCGAUAAUAUAGUUCAUCCUCGAGAAGCAGAUACUUGGUAGCUUGAAACCUGAUACGUCUCUCGACCUUUUUAGAUGGAUCCUUUAAAUAAUCAAUGAUCUCCUUUCUCCAAUCAUCGGCACCAUUUGCCGAUAAUGUGUUUAACAUGGGUUGAUAUCCCGAGGCAUGCUGUGCCAACCGAUUGGCCUCCUCAUUAUGUAACCUAGGAACAUGCUCUAAUCAGAAAUCUUUGAAUUCCUUUAAUAGUUGCAUACUUUUUUCAUAAUAAGUUAUCAGGACUUUGCUUUGGCAUUCAUAACUCCAGCUAACUGAAUUAUGACCAGCAUAGAAUCCUCGAAGAUUUCAACAGCAUCAGCAUGAACCUCUUUUAGCAACUCCAACCCCUUGAUUAAAGCUUGAUAUUCAGCUUGAUUAUUGGUUGACGUGGCAACAAUCGGCAAAGAGAACUCAUACUUCCUUCCCUGGGGGGAAAUUAGUACUAUGCCGAUUCGUGCCCCCUGGUCACAGGUAGAUCCAUCAAAGAAGAGCGUCCAAGGAACAAUUUCCAAAGCCUCCACUACACCACAAUGUUGAAUCACAAAAUCGGCCAUAACCUGCCCUUUUACUGCCUUAGCCGAUUCGUAACGUAGAUCAAACUCUGACAGAGCCAAAAUCCAUUUACCGAUUCUACCAUUCAUAAUCGGCAUAGAUAACUUGUAUCGGACUACAUCAUCUUUGCAUAUAACAGUGCAUUCAGCCGAUAGCAAAUAGUGCCUUAAUUUGAUACACGAAAAAUAUAAGCAUAAACAUAACUUUUCAAUUGCCGAAUACCUGGUCUCAGCAUCGAUCAGCCUUCUAAACAAAUAAUAAAUCACACGUUCCUUCCCUUCAAAUUCUUGGAUCAAAGCCGAACCAAUGACCAUCCCAUCGGUAGAUAAAUAUAAUCUGAAGGGCUUUCCUUGCUGAGGGGGAAUUAAAACUGGAGGAUUUGUCAAAUAAUUCUUGAUUUCAUCCAAGGCCAACUGUUGCUUUUCUCCCCAUACAAACUCUUGAUCUGCUUUCAAUUUGAGUAAAGGACUGAAAGCACGAAUUUUACCAGACAAGUUUGAUAUAAACCGUCUGAUAAAAUUUACCUUGCCGAUCAAAGACCGGAGUUCAGUUUUGUUGGUAGGAUCAACUAUUUAUUGAUAGCAUCAAUAGAUCUCCUACUAAUUUCAAUUCCUCUCUGAUGCACCAUUAAACCAAGAAACUGCCCCGUUGAUACACCAAAUGCACACUUAUUAGGAUUCAUCUUUAAACCAUGUUUCCUUGUACAUUCCAAUACCUUUCGCAAAUUGGCAAGAUGCUUUGUGAAAUCCCUAGAUUUAACCACCACAUCAUCAAUGUAAAUUUCUACCAGCUUGCCAAUGAACUCAUGAAAGAUAAAAUUCAUAGCCCUCUGAUAGGUAGCACCAGCAUUUUUCAAGCCAAAGGUCAUAAUUAUCCGUUCAAACAGUCCAACAGGACCAGGACAUCUAAAUACGGUUUUUGGAAUAUCUUCUUCAGCCAUGAAUAUCUGAUUAUAUCCUGCAUUGCCAUCCAUGAAGCUUAUGAUUCGAUGUCCAGCCGCAGCAUCGACUAGCAAAUCGGCAACUGGCAUUGGGUAACCAUCCAUCGGCGUAGCCUUGUUAAGAUUCCUAAAAUCAAUGCAGACUCAAAGCUUCCCAUUCUUCUUGUAAACUGGAACAACAUUGGAAAUCCACUCGGCAUAUCGACACUGCCAAACAAAUUUAGCUUCAAUAAGUUUGGUUAUUUCAGCCUUAAUAUCAGGAAGAAUAUUAGGAUUGCAUCGGCGAGCCGGCUGCUAAUGCGGCCGAAAUCCAAAUUUAAUGGGCAACCGAUGUUCAACAAUGGAUCGGUCUAAACCAGGCAUCUCAGUAUAAUCCCAAGCAAAGCAAUCUUUAUAUUCCUUUAACAAAUCGGUUAACUGUUGCUUACACUCAGGAUUUAACUUAGCACUAAUAAAAGUAGGUAUUGGCUUAUCACCAUUACCUAUAUCUACCUCUACUAAAUCAUGGGCCGAUGUAAACCCCUGGCCUAAUUUUCCAUCAUCAGCGAACCUAUCUAUUAAAACUCCUCAUCAGAACCGACUGCUUGGAUCGGUGGAAUUUCAUAAUCGGCAACCUUGAGGAAAUCCUUUUCCCAAAUCUCCCCUGAAAUGCAUCUGGUCCUUUCAUAAGUAUCCGCCUCUGCCGAUGCUAUAACAUAAGAAGAAUCUUCUGGGACAAUCUCAAUCUUGUCACCUACCCACUGAACCAAACAUUGGUGCAUUGUAAACGGGAUGCAACAAUUGGCAUGGAUCCAAUCUCUCCCCAACAAUAGAUUGUAAGCACCCUUUCCACUGAUAACGAAGAAAGUUGUCGGCAAGGUUUUACUGCCGAUGGUCAACUCAACGCAUAUUGCUCCCUUAACUGGAGACACAUUCCCUUCAAAAUCCUUUAGCAUCAUAUCGGUCUUGGUCAAAUCUUGGUCAUCGGCUAUCCAUCCACCCUUCCUUUGACGAACAGGGCUUUAAGAUGCCGCCUUUCAUUGUCAGCAGGCUUUUCAAAGAUAGCCGUCAUCGGAUCCAGAGCCAACUAAGCUAUCUGGUUGGAAAAAUCUAGCUCCUCAUCAUCACUGGAUGGCGCAAGGAACUCCAUCGGCAACAUAAAUACCAUGUUAACAUCUGCCGAUGGCCCUUUUCCUUUGGGAUCCGGUUGCUGCUGAUCUCCAGAUUUACCAGAAUUCUCUCCUUUGCUCAAAUCUUCUCAUCUUUCACGCUGCAAUCUUCUUUUCUACGUUCUAGUCAACCCUUCUAGACACCAUUGCGGCUGUCUUACCGAUGGACGAUGAUUUCCCCUUGGCUCCACUCGAUAAGUAUUAGCAUCUCUGCAAAAUAUGAACUCAUCGGGAACUCGUGCAUCGGCCAUCUCUUCAAGCUCCUCUUGGUUCCUAGGAAAAUAUCUGACACGGUCACCAAGUCUGUCAUGCACGCUGAGCCUGCCCCCCAGCCAAUCAUGAACUGAAGCUCUUCCCCAGUCUGUCAUGCACGCUGAGCCUGCCCCCCAGCCAAUCAUGAACUGAAGCUCUUCCCCUAAUCGGCCCAUUAAAUUGCCGAUCAUCGUUUGGAUACUGCCGAUUAGGUCUAUCAUACCGAUCAUAACCAUUGCACUCAGGGCAAUCUCUAACAGUGGGCAGUUUUAUGUUUUGCUCCCAGCAAUGGAUAAAGAACGGGCAGUUCCAGUGAUCUUCAUGCUGAUUCCACUCCUGUCGGCAUUGGUCUUCUUCUCGGCGACGAUCCUCCUGUUGACGCCGAUACCGAUCUUCACGUUGCUGCCAAGUCUCCUGAUGCCUUCUAUGAGUUAUCACAAUGCUAGAUCAGGGAGGCCUUCCUGAACUGGUUCCUUCCUGAAUCAGACCCUUGCCUUUAGCAUCAUCGGUAGUAAUCUGAUGUUGAGGAUCCAUCGAUGCACUUCUUUCAGCUGCCUCUAACGUCAAGACCUUGGUUUUUCCCUUAGCAUCCAACAUAUUUGUUUGGAAAGGAUGUUGAUCGAUCUUCAUCGGCUUCUGAGCUUUAGAAUUAUCAAACUUAUUCUCCGAGAUUCUAUAGCCGAUUGCAGCUGUAGCCUGAAAACCUUGCACUCAUUUGUACUGUGAGAUGUUGCAUUGUGCCACUUGUAGUACUUCAUCUUCUUUAAUUCUUCAGCCGAUGGAAUCACAUGAUUCGGUGAUAACUUGAUUUGCCCUUCCUGAAAUAGAAAGUCAAAUAUCCUAUCGGCCUUGGUGAUGUCAAAUGCAAAUUUCUCUGGCUCUUUAUGCCCAAAAGGGCAAGACAUCGGCUUCUUAUUUUUUACCCACUCUACCAAGCCGAUGACUGGUUCCUCAUCAGAGUCUGAGCUUGCUGCCUCAUCGACAAAUGACACCUUUUUAUUCCAUGCUCUCUUAGGCUCAAAGGGUUUGAUAUCUUGGUCAGAAAUCCUCUACACUAAGUGACUUAGGCUCUCAAACUCUUGACAAGCAUACUUGUCUCUGAUAUGUGGCAACAAUCCCUUAGUUGUAUUCGGCUGCUUUUCCAUCGGCAUCAACCCUCAUCGGCAACUCUCCUGUGGACUAGUCACUACUCCUCCACCUGCCGAUCUACACCUCAUUAACUCCAGACGCGUGCCCAGAGAUACGUGUCCAAAAACGGUGUCAACAGUGGAGAAUGAAUGGUGUAUGGUGAUGAUGGUGAUAAUGGUGAAAACAAUGGUGAAAGUCUAAUUCUACUUUUGCUCUUUUGAAGGGAUACAUACAUUUCUUGCACUUUGAAGCUUUUUGAGGAGAAUGAGAUGCUCUAUAUUUCCUUUCUUUCUUUUUAUUUUCUCUCAGGUGGGUAUCUUGUAACCCUAAUUCUACUGUCGGACACUUGUCCAUUUUUACCUCUCGUCUCACUUUUUUUUCUUUGAGGUUUGGGGCACUUGCCCCUUUUUAUUUCCUCGUAUUCAUUUUUUAGAGCAUUCAUCCUCCUGGAAUAAUGUAGCAAGUGGUAGUAACCAAGAUAACUCGAGCAUUUAUUUCACAGGGAAUAACAGGAAUAGGAGAAUGUUUUUGGCUAUUCUCUCCCGGAUAAUUUUAGGUGGAUCUAGAGAUGGAAAUGAGUGGAUGUAUGUGGAUGCAUACUUCUGGAGUAGAAGUAGCAUAUAUGAGUGGACGUGCAAGUGAAACUUGAUUUUAACCACAUGACAAGCUCCUAAGGGUCUACACAGCUUGACCACACUCAGUGCUCAUAAGCAGUAAAUGUAUGGUUCUUAGUCUAAUAACCAUGUAAAUAUGGCUGUGGUAGGAAUUUAAACUCUCAUCAUACAUGAACUCAUCAUGCAACAUUUUUAAAGAUUUUCAAAGAUAAAAUUCUCCAGAACUCUAGCAGAAUAGAUAAACAAUAGCUCAACCUUCCCAUAUCAUAUCUGUUAAUGACUUAGACUUUAGAUCAAGUACUCUUCCCACAAGUUCAGGUUUAGAGCGAGCUUUAAAUUAUAACAGUUAUGCCUAAACUUGAGAGAGAGCUCAAAUUUGAAAACUAGGUACUUGGCAGAGCAACUAUUCAUUAUAUCCAUGUAGGAGUUUAUUAUUAAGAUUCAGUUUAGCAUAACCGCUUUAUUUAAGCAAGAUAUGUUUGUAUAUAAAUAAGCAUAAAAUGUUUACUUGGGUUUUCAUGAUUAUGCAUCUUUUUAUUAUUUGAGUAAAGUAUAAACGCGAGUAGAAACACUUAGCUGGAUAAAUGAGGGUUCUCUCCCCCAAGCUGGAUUUUGACGUAAUUUCUUUUGAUGUAGCUAGGAGGUGGCAAAGGUGUAUUUGAAUGUUGAUAGCACCCUAACAGCGAUUAGGGUGUCCUCCGUCUGCUAGUCUUCUUGAUCCUUGGAAUAUGUGGAGCUCAAAUAGACAACAAAGCUUUAUGAGACUGGUUAAGUGUUAGUGUAAAUCUCUAGCCCUUUAUCAUGUUGAGCUUCCUCAAUAAAUGUUAUUCUCUUUGGUAGGAUCAUAAACUUAUUUUUACAUUUUCAUUUUUUAUAGAAUAGGAAUAUAUUUACUUUAUUUUUAUGCCACCAUAGUGAAUGUACUUAUGGGUUUUAUGCCACUAGCAUACUCACAUGUGGCUUUGUCAUUUUCAACAUUUUUUAUUUUCUUUUCAGGGUAGUAUGAACAUGAUUAACUAAACAAGCUUAUUUAAGGAAAGUAACUAAUUAAAAGGAAAAGGGACAACUACUAGGUUUACCUCUUGGCACGGUGUUCGGUGCUUUUAAGUCCUCCAAAUGGGACUCCUUAUGUCCUUACUCGUCCUGGGAUUCGAUGGAUGGCGUAGACGGUGGUUCUAGCGGCGCCUCCUCUUCUAUUACAACUCUUUUCUCUUUCCAUACCUGAUUUGGUGCUACGGUCUCCUUAGGACAAACUUGUUCCAGAUAUAUAUCUUCAGAUCUUAUUACCUCUCCUUCAUAGUCCACCCAUCCGUCCUUGAUGAUUUGCCUCCUCUAGUUGCGGUUGUGUUUGUCUUCUUCUCAUCCUGGUCUGCUUAGAAUCUUCAAAUAUAUAGUUAGAAUCAUUAAAGUAGCAAUGUACCUUCUCAGAGGGGAAGUGUAUGUGGACUUCUCCUGUUCGAAUGUAGAUGAUGGCUUCAACGGUGCUAAGGAAUGGUCUUCUAAGGAUGAUGGGUGGAUCAUACUCAUCUUCUCCCAUGUCAAUGAUGUGGAAAUCUGUCGGAAUAAAAUGGUUGUUGAUUUUGACAGGGACAUCAGUUACUAUACCUUUGACUUUGUGAAAUGUCUGGUCUGCCUUCUAGAGCUGAGUGUAUGUUGGUUGUAAGGGCAUGGUUCCAUACAGGAAUUGAUAGGUGACUGCGGCCAUUAUGUUGAUGCCUGAUCUGGUGUCGCAGAUUGUCUUCUAGAAGGAAUAUCCAUUGAUUGUGCAUUCAAUGCUUGGAACACCUGGGUCGUCCUUCUUGAUCAGGAAAGGUGACUUGAGUCGACGAUCUUGACCUCUGUAAAUUGUAGUGACCAUCUUGGCUGAUUCUGUCCAUACUUGUUGCUUGUUCCUAUUCUGCUUGUUCCUCCUGUUGGUCCUCUUUCUUGGUUCAUAUUGGGGUUUGUCUGGGAUUUGUGUAGUCUUGUUCUAUUGACACCGUGUUUUGACAUGAGUCUGGAAGGUUAAUGAAGCUUGGAUCGGCAGAUGGAGAAGUAACGACUAGCUAAUAGAAAAGUUGCCAGUGGCCUAUGAUAUCGAUGAUAAGGCCUCAGGAGGGAGGUAUGAUUAAGUCUAGGAACAUUGGUUGAUCGGUACCGAUGGUCGAUGUUGACGAUUGCCAAUGGAGGAUGAAGAUGCCGAUGAUGGUACAUAGAGACGUGGGAGUCAUCGGUAGGAAUAAUGGUGGUGUGCCGAUCGUCCAAGAUAGAUAAAUUAUUGUUUUCUAUAAUUGUUAGAGUUUAUUUUAUGUACAAGUUCUAUUUGAUUUGCAAUUAGAAUCCUAGUCGUAUCUGGUUGUAACUAUUUAGGAUAGAGUAUAAAUAUAGGCCUAGUAGCGAUGUAAGAAGCCAAUCCAAUCAAUCAUACACAAAGUUUUUACAUCUCUUUUUGCAUCUACUUUCGACGACUUCGUAAAAUCGCUUAUUUUCUUUUACUUAUGAGUUCUUAAGAAUUCUUCGAGUCAUACUCAACGAGUUCUCGAGUUCUGUGUGAAUACCUCUUGGCCAUGGCAUCCGGGCGUAUCACUGUUGUCGGGACCAAAGUAUUCAAGUUAUCACCUUUGUCGAUUGUAAGGUCAAAUCGGCUGGCACGCCUUAACGUUGAAAUCGGGUAUUAGCCCUUUGUGUUUGCAGAUUCACUUUUGCACCAACACAUCUUUUGGCAUGCCCGGUGGGACCAAUCUAUCAUCGAGAUCAAGAUGUCUACUACUGAGUUCGACACAGACAACAUCAUUGUUGUAACCGAGGCUGAUCUCAGGGAUGAGCAGAAGCAGGUGUUGAUAUUUGGUAACGCAAUAAGGAAAUGAUCCGCAAGCGCACGGAUAUCGGUGAGCAUUUCACCCGGGAGGUUUUCCAGAGUAUCGUAUUUAUAUUUUUACCACUGGAAGAAAGGGUGCAUCUGACUAACCAAAUCUAUUGCUACUAUCCCUUUAGGCUACAAAGAAUGUCUCUCGAUGUGAGUGAUGUAUAGAGAAGACUGCAACCGUAGUCUCGUUCUAACCUUGGUAAGGAUGAUCUACUGUUCUAUUGGGGAGGCUCACGGAAUCUAGACAACACAAAGGAUGUUCAACCCGCACCUAUAAACCUACCCGUCCUGCUAACAAGAUAUGGGAUACAAAGGUAACUCGGAAAUGUCACGUUCCUCGCUACUACCACGGUCCAGCUAGUCAGGGGAUAUCUAUGAGUACCCUAGCCUAAACACCACGUUUACGCUAGCAAGUGAUUACUCUAAUACUCAACCGGAAGAGGAUUAAAGUAAACUCAUAAACCAAAGAACAAUAAAACAAGAACUUACUAGAAUUAGAAGUCAAAUUACUGAAGAAUCUUAGAAGCAAGCCUCGGGUUGGGAGACUUGAUCCCGUAGGUACAACUUGAAGUAGACACCGACAGGCCGGCCUUCCUCCGAUCUACACCUCCACUCUAUCUCUCUCAAUCUAGUAGAAACUAGAAGAUCUAUUUCUACUUUACAUUGGUUGCUAAGCCUAAAAAGAAAUAUUAAUUAGAGAAGAGGUUUUCCUUCGAGGGCACCCCUCAAUCUCUAUGAUAAUUUCUUGUCUUCUCCAAGGGCCAGGGAGGUCUCCUUAUAUAGUCCUCCUCCUCUAUGCGUUUUUGGGUUGGUAGGCGAGGUGGUACUAUGUUUUCCUUGAUCCAAUAGGUCGGUGGAACAUCUCGUGCGAAGAGAGUCCUGAUUGGCAUCCAACAGGGGGCGGGCGCCCUGGGCCUGGCCCCGUUCGGCCUCCGCUUCCUUCCCGUGGCUUCUGGAGUCUUCUAGAUGGUAGAAAAUUGCGCAGUGCGUUGAUAUCUCUAUGUAAUCCCGACAUAUGGGCCUUUCUUCCUUAUUUCCUGAUAACCCCCUGCAGAAAUAGACAAACACCAAAACUCGUGGAAUUCUGUCAGAUAAAACCCUAAGUCUAGAUGUUGAUUUCAUUUGGAUCCUUUUCUUUGUUUACUUGAUAAUUAAAUUUGAUACUUAAGGACCGUCAACAAACUCCCCCAAGCUUACCUCUUGCUCGUCCCUGAGCAAGGAUGAACUCAAGAGUUUCUGCAGUGGUUUCAUGCCUUAAAAGUACACACGCAUUCAAGCAAGAUCUCAUCUUUGAGUUAGAAUAAACUGUUAAGACUUAAAACUUACUCAUUUUACCUUUCACUAUGGGGCUUGUAACCAUCACUUGUGUCUUGAGCAGUUAAAAGAUAGAACGGUCAAGUCAAGCGCCAUGUCUCUUAUCCUUGAUCAGCUAUAGCUCUGGGGUUUUUGCAGAUUUUUCAAAUAAAACUCAGAGAUUCCUUAUAUGACUCUCUCAGAUCUCUCUUUUGUGGUAUUUCUGGAUCCUUACCAAGGCAGUAAUGGUACAUGCCUUCUCUCAAAGUAUGUGGUAUUUUUGGUAUGAGGCAUAGUGAUAUUGCCUUCUCUCUCACCCUACUCUAAUAAGGUUCUGAUAUCUAGAGCUCAUAGGUGGGAGACAGCUAAUACAUACUUACAAGACAUUUAUUGCAUAGUCAAACCAUGGAUCCAGAGAAACAAGUCAAUAAGUCAAAUCAAGACGUGCAUGUGUGGCGAAUGAAUGGCGUAUGGUGAUGAUGGUGAUAAUAGUGGUGAAAGUCUAAUUCUACUUUUGCUCUUUUGAGGGGAUACAUACCUUUCUUGCACUUUGAAGCUUUUUGAGGAUAAUGAGAUGCUCUAUAUUUUCUUUUUCUUUCCUCUUAGGUGGGUAUCUUGUACCCCUAAUUCUACUGUCGGACACUUGUCCAUUUUUAGCUCUCGUCUCACUUUUUUUUCUUUUUCUUCGAAGUUCCGGGCACUUGCCCCUUUUUAUUUGCUCGUAUAUUAUUAUUUUUUUCUCUUUUUUUAGAGCACUCAUCUCCUUAAAUAAUAUAGCAAGUGGUAGUAACCAAGAUAACUCGAGCAUUUAUUUCACAGGAAAUAACAGGGAUAGGAUAAUAUUUUUGGCUAUUCUCUCCUAGAUUAGGAGUAGAAUAAUUUUGGGUGAAUCUGGAGAUGGAAAUGAGUGGAUAUAUGUGGAUGGUACUUCUAGAGUAGAAGUAGCAUGUAUGAGUGAACGUGCAAGUGAAUCUUGAUUUUAACCACAUGACAAGCUCCUAAGGGUCUACCUAGCUUGACCACACUCAAUGCUCAUAAGUAGUAAAAAGUAAAUAUGUGGCUCAAAGUCUAGCAAGCAUGUAUAUAUGGCUGUGGUAGGAAUUUAAACUCUCAUCAUAUAGGAGCUCAUCAUGUGUUAUUUUAAAGAUUUUUCAAAGAUAAAAUUCUCCAGAAUUCUAGCAUCUCUAGGAACAGAUAAACAGCAGCUCAACCUUCCCAUAUCAUAUCCGUUAACAACUUAGACUUUAGAUCAAGUACUCUUCCCACAAGUUCAGGUUUAGAGCAAAUCUUACUUCAUAAUAGUCAUGCCUAAACUUGAGAGAGAUUUCAAUUUUAAGAACUAGUCAUGGCAGAGCAACUAUUCAUCAUUUCCAUGUGAGAGUUUACCAUGACUGUUCAUAGCAAACUUUAUUUAUUUAUUUAUUUAGCAAACUAAGCAAAGAUAUAUAUAUAAAAGCACAAAAUCUUUAUUUGGGUUUUCAUGAUUAUGCAUCUUUUAUUAUUUGAGUAAAGUAUAAAUGCGAGUAGAAACACUUAGCUGGAUAAAUGGGGGUGCUCUCCCCCAAGCUGGAUUUUGACGUAAUUUCUUCUGAUGUGCUAGCAGGUGACGGAGGUGUAUUUGAAUGUCAGUAGCAUUCUGACAACGAUUAGAAUGUCCUCUGUCUCCUAGUCUUCUUGAUUCUUAAAUUCUGUAGAGCUCAAAUAGACAACAAAGCUUGGUGGAACUGGUUAAGUGUUAGCAUAAAUAUCUAGCCUUUAUCAUGUUGAGCCUCCUUAAUAAAUGUUACUUAUUUAGCAGGAUCAUGCACUUAUUAUUUUUUAUAUUUUUAUUGUAAGAUGAAAACUAAUUUAUUUUAUUUUUAUGCCACCACAGUGAAUGUACUUAUGGGUUUUAUGCCAUGAGCAUACUCACAUGGGGCUUACUAUUUUUUUAACAUUUUUAUUUUCUUUUCAAGAUAGCAUGAACCUGAUUAACUAAGCAAACUAUAAUUGAAUAAUUGAAAGGAAAAGGAUAACUACCAAGUUUACCUCUUCGCAAGGCGUUCGGUGUUUUUAAGUCCUCCAAACGGGACUCUCCGUUGUCUCAGUCGUCCUGGGAUUUGCUGGGUGGCGUAGUCGGUGGUUCCGGCGGCGCCUCCUCUUCGUGUAUAACUUUCUGUUCUUUCCACACCUGACUCGGUGCUACGGUCUCCUCAGGACAAUUCUGUUCAAGCUGUAUGUCUUCAGACCUUAUCACUUCUCCUUCGUAGUCUACCCAUCCGUCCUUGAUGAUUUGCCUCCUCUGGUUGCGGUUGCGUUGUCUUCUUCUUGUCCUGACCUGCUUAGAAUCUUCAACUAUAUAGUUAGAAUCAUUAAAGUAGUGGCGUACCUUCUCAGAGGGGAAAUACACGUGGACUUCUCCGGUUCCAAUGUAGAUGAUUGCUUUGAUAGUGUUGAGGAACGGUCUUCCAAGGAUUGUGGGUGCAUCAUACUCGUCUUCUCCCAUGUUAAUGUCCUAAAAAUUAUCUAAAGUUGAAUGUAUCUUAGUUGUAGGGGCAUGGUUCCAUGCAGGAGCUGAUAAGUGACUGCGGCCAUUAUGUUGUCGUUAGAUCCGGUGUCGUAGAGUGUCUUCUAAAAAGAGUAUCCAUUGAUUGUGCACUCAAUGCUUGGAACACCAGGGUCGUCCUUCUUGAUCAAGAAAGGAGACUUGAGUCGACGAUCUUGACCUCCUUGAGCUGCAGUGACCAUCUCAGCUGACUCGGUCCACAUUUGCUUAUUCUUGUUCCUCCUGUUGGUCCUCUUCCUUGGUUCAUGUCAGGAUUGCUCUGAAGUUUGUGUAGUCUUGUUCUUGAAGGAAAGUCUCCUUCUUCCCUUUGAUGUAGAGACUGAUCUUGGCAGCAUUAGCGUAGAUGACAGCUCUGGUGUUUAGGAAUUGCCUCCCUAAGAUGAUGGGUGCCCUCUCCUCAGUACCAGUCUCUAUCACCACGAAGUUUACUGGAGCGUACAAGGUACCAACUCGGACACAGAGGUUCUUCAAUAUUUUCUUUGGAAAACUAAGUGUCCGAUCUCCAUUGUGUUUUGUGCUCGUAGAUCCCGGUUCUUCACUUGGUGGAAUCUGGGAGUUGUAAAACUCCUCCAUGUUUUGUUUGAAGUGUACCUGUUCAUAGAGACAAGGCGGAGAUCAAGUGCAUGGUCCCUGUUGAUGGAAAACCCCACAGAACCAAAAGUGUAUUUGUUCUUCUCUAACCUUAAGCAUAGUGAGCAAGACAAAGUUGAUGGAUCAUGAGUGUAGCAUUUAAAACAUUUGUUAGAUCAGAUGGCUCAACCUAAUGGAAUGAUAAUCUAUCUAUAUUUAUGUUUUGUUUAUAUCUUCCAAAGAUUGAAUGUGCAAUACUUUAGCUUAUAUGAUUAGGAGUGUGGGAUCACGAAGGUAGUACUAAGAACAAAGAUUAAAGGACUAAUCAUGUUGAAUUAAUUGGGUUGGUUAAUUUGGAGUUAUAAAUCAUACAUGUUUGUCUCUUUAUUUAUGUGAAUGCUAGAACCAAGGAGAAGCUUAUAAAAGUGAUAGUCAAGUACCUUAGAAUGUUACCUUACUUGAAGAGUGGCGGUACAGUAUCACCUUGUAGAAGCUUUCCUUUCUUAGCGGUUGUGCAUCGUGUUUGUGGCAUCCUCCAUGGAUCAUCUCUUAUGAGCUACGUCUUCCUCGUGUAAAUUGUUAAACUUCAUGUGUCCCUCUCCUUGUCUCCAAUGUGAGUUUAUCUCAGGACUUCCCAGGUUGAUAUUAACAGUUUUCCUGCAGGGGUUAGUCCGACAAAAUAUACCAAUGCCUACUCAAGCAGUUUUUAGUUCAGUAACCAAACUAGACUCCAUGUCUAAUCAGAUUAAGGGAGGCUAUUUAACCUAAGCACCACGCUUAAUUUAAAAGCCAAUAGAAGUAUGUACAGUACUUCCAAACUAACACUUACUAGGAUAAACAAAGGUAGCAUGAUGGCUUAUAGAGAUCUACUUAAGUGGAGAUGAAGUAGUGUAAUUAGUAUUUAACAAAUUGAGCAUGUCUCAAAGGUAAGGACAACCAACAUAGCAACAUGGCAAAGGAUGUUUUUAUGUGAAGUACUCCCCCAAGCUUGAAUUUUUGCAAAAUUCAAGAUUGGAAGAAUUUAAUUCAAUGUUGCAUGUUGAUUGGUUGGGCAUACCUUGCGCUUGUCAUUCAUCCGAUCUUCUUGCUCUAAUCCUGGAAAGGUUAGUGGCAAGAAUACCCGAAGGAAUAUUUCUACAAUUAUCUCAUAUGCUCAAUACACAAGGCAAUGUUGCAAAUAAUUAAAAGUUCAUGUUACGAUCUGAUAAGUGCUUGUUUAAGGACGCUAAGCUUGUCCUUGGGAAACCAUUAAUUUAUGUUGGCGAAGUGGUUUCCCCUCCAACGCUGACCUAUAUCAAGAUCAACUCAACGAGAUCUGCAAUAUUUAUUAUAGACAUAUGCAUCGAUAACCGCCCUUUUAAAGUUUUUAUAAAUAAAAAGGAAGAGGGGGUUGGAGAUCUCAAAUGGGGUGAUGAUGGAGAGACCGAUUGAUUGGGGAGAUGUUUUAUAUGAGCAAGGACUUGGUAAGGUAUUUAUGAAAUAACUUCCAUGCUCACUGUUGUUCCUCUCAUUCUCAAACUCCAAGGAUGAUUCUUCAUGAAUGCUUAAAAUUCCUCUAGGAUUGUCUCUCAAGUUUGUUUUAUCUAUCCAUUCAAUGGUGAUAGCACAUGGAUUUUUAAUGCCCUCUAGCCAUCGAUGUUGCUCUUCUCGAUCCUCCUUCUUAUGCAUGGGAUGUCUAGAUAGAUUCAUAGGAUUAUCGGGAGGUUCAAGACAAAUAGCAUAGUAGAGAUUAUUAAACUCAAGGAUGGGUUGGAUCGCCGAAUUAUGGGAUUGAAAUGUUUGGAAAUUGGCUAUUGAAACUUCCUUUCCUCGUCUGGGAGAUGAUCCCUUCUCUAUUUCUAAGAUUUUUCUAUAAAGACUAGUGCAAGAAGGAUGUCCACGAAUGAAGACAUACCUUACUUUACUAAUAGAUAAAGAAAGAAGGACUCUACCAAAGGUUAUAUGAUUAAGACCAAUGUGAAAAUAUUUAGGAAAAACAUGGUCUUGUAGGGCUAGGUCUAAACCAGAAUUUAUAGAAAGAUUAAAAGAUUCCCUAGGUGUAGCUAAAAGUGCAUUAUCUUCUUGAUUAAAAGAUAGGACCUCGGCUAUAGAAAAGGGUUGGUUUUGACCUAUUGCAAUCAACUCCGGACACAGAUCCUAAUUAGGGGCAGGACGUGUUGACUCCCAUGGUCUAUGGCUAGUCUCCGAAGGUGCAAAGAAUUUAAUAAUAAGUAUGGAAUUUGAGUUAUCCAUAAAGAUAAAAAUAAAAAGAUAAAAGAAUAAAAGUAUAAAAGUAUAAUACAAGAUAAUAGCAAGACUCAAAGUUAUCUCAGCAAACCGUCUUUCUCCCCGGCAACGGCGCCAGAAAUGCUUGUUGAUAUUUGGUAACGCAAUAAGGAAAUGAUCCGCAAGCGCACGGAUAUCGGUGAGCAUUUCACCAGGGAGGUUUUCUAGAGUAUCGUAUUUAUAUUUUUACCACUGGGAGAAAGGGUGCAUCUGACUAACCAAAUCUAUUGCUACUAUCCCUUUAGGCUACAAAGAAUGUCUCUCGAUGUGAGUGAUGUAUAGAGAAGACUGCAACCGUAGUCUCGUUCUAACCUUGGUAAGGAUGAUCUACUGUUCUAUUGGGGAGGCUCACGGAAUCUAGACAACACAAAGGAUGUUUGACCCGCACCUAUAAACCUACCCGUCCUGCUAACAAGAUAUGGGAUACAAAGGUAACUCGGAAAUGUCACGUUCCUCGCUACUACCACGGUCCAGCUAGUCAGGGGAUAUCUAUGAGUACCCUAGCCUAAACACCACGUUUACGCUAGCAAGUGAUUACUCUAAUACUCAACCGGAAGAGGAUUAAAGUAAACUCAUAAACCAAAGAACAAUAAAACAAGAACUUACUAGAAUUAGAAGUCAAAUUACUGAAGAAUCUUAGAAGCAAGCCUCGGGUUGGGAGACUUGAUCCCGUAGGUACAACUCGAAGUAGACACCGACAGGCCGGCCUUCCUCCGAUCUACACCUCCACUCUAUCUCUCUCAAUCUAGUAGAAACUAGAAGAUCUAUUUCUACUUUACAUUGGUUGCUAAGCCUAAAAAGAAAUAUUAAUUAGAGAAGAGGUUUUCCUUCGAGGGCACCCCUCAAUCUCUAUGAUAAUUUCUUGUCUCCUCCAGGGGCCAGGGGGGUCUCCUUAUAUAGUCCUCCUCCUCUAUGCGUUUUUGGGUCGGUAGGCGAGAUGGUACUAUGUUUUCCUUGAUCCAAUAGGUCGGUGGAACAUCCCG